rnacentral:lncRNA from 1 species
GUUGCCAUUUGUCGUGGGGUGCCUAAAGAAGUUCAAGAAGCAGCCUUUCUAGCUAUGUGUGGUGGCAACAAAAGACAGAAAAUCACAGCAAGUUCAGUCAAUGUUAAUGAUUGUGGAAUUUCAACAAUGGAAGGAGGAAUUGGAAGGGUACAAAGAGAAGUUCAGGUUGUAGAACCCGGAGUAGUGGAAGAGAGGAUUUCUUCACAUGCAAUAGCAGGAAACGACGUAGUAAGCAUGACCGGAAUGAGAGCACCAGAACAUGGAGUUUCCGAAGGGGCACUCGAGAGCAGACCGAGGACAGAUCCCGUGGAUCGAUCGUUGGAACAAAGCAAUGCAGUACUUGGCAAUUUGGAAGGGGGUGCUGGAAGGAUACAAGUGGGAGUUCAGGGGGUGCUGGAACAAGGUGCCGGGGAAGAGAGAAUUAAUCGGGUUAUAGUGAGGACAGAACCAGUGGAGGAGGAUGUGGAGAAUAGUCGAAGAUCAGUAGUGCAGGCUGGCGCAGGAGCUAGAUCUUCUGAAAGUCUGAAAUACAACAAGACUAGAGGAGUUCCAUUACCUACUAGCUCUAAAAAGCCAGUGGGUCAAGUAUUCGAAGAGAAUACGAAGGUGAUAUGGUCUUUGUUAAUGGAUGAUAAAGUCUCAAUCAUUAGCAUUUAUGGGAUGGGUGGGAUUGGUAAAACAACAAUACUGCAACAUAUCCAUAAUGAGCUUCUACAAAGACCAGAUAUUUGUGAUUAUGUUUGGUGGGUGACUGUGUCUCAAGAUUUCAGCAUUAAAAAAUUGCAGAAUCGUAUUGCUAAACGUCUUCAUCUAGACCUUUCAAGCGAAGAUGAUGAACUACAUAGAGCUGGCAGAUUGUCAAAAAAACUAAAGAAGAAACAAAAAUGGAUUCUUAUUUUAGAUGAUUUGUGGAACUAUUUUGACCUACACAAAGUGGGAAUUCCUGAAAAGUUGGAAGGAUGCAAGCUGAUUAUGACAACUCGAUCAGAAACAGUUUGUGAAGGGAUGGCUUGCCAGCACAAAAUCAAAGUGAAGCCACUUUCUAAUAGAGAAGCUUGGGCUUUGUUUAUGGAGAAACUUGAACGUGAUGUAGCACUUUCACCAGAAGUGGAAGGAAUUGCGAAAGCUGUUGCAAAGGAAUGUGCUGGUUUACCAUUGGGAAUUAUUACAGUGGCAGGAAGCUUGAGGGGAGUGGAUGACUUACAUGAGUGGAGAAAUACAUUGAACAAAUUGAGAGAAUCAGAAUUUAGGGAAAAGAAGGUAUUCAAGUUAUUGAGGUUUAGUUAUGAUCAAUUAGGUGAUUUAGCACUACAACAAUGUCUCUUGUACUGUGCAUUAUUUCCUGAAGAUGAUAGGAUUGAAAGGGAGGGGUUGAUAGGUUAUUUGAUUGACGAGAGAAUAAUUAAAGGAAUGAGGAGCAGGGGAGCUGCAUUUGACGAGGGCCACUCGAUGCUUAAUAUACUUGAAAAUGUCUGUCUAUUGGAAAGUGCUCAAAUGGAUUAUGAUGAUAGAAGAUAUGUCAAGAUGCAUGACUUGAUUAGGGACAUGGCCAUCCAACUACUGCUAGAGAACUCUCAAGGGAUGGUUAAAGCAGGUGCACAAUUAAAAGAGUUGCCAGAUGCAGAGGAGUGGACAGAGAAUCUGAUGAGAGUUUCACUAAUGCAAAACGAGAUCGAAGAAAUUCCUUCCAGCCAUUCACCAACGUGUCCCUAUCUAUCAACUCUAUUGCUAUGUAAAAAUAAUCUGUUGGGAUUUAUUGCGGAUUCAUUUUUCAAGCAAUUGCAUGGGCUCAAGGUCCUCGAUCUGUCUUGGACAGGUAUUGAAAAUUUGCCAGACUCUGUCUCUGAUUUGGUGAGUCUCUCUGCGUUAUUGCUCAAUGAUUGUGAGAAGUUAAGACAUGUUUCAUCAUUAAAGAAGCUCAGGGCACUGAAGAGGUUGAAUCUCUCUCGUACUGCACUUGAAAAGAUGCCGCAAGGAAUGGAAUGCCUAACCAACCUGAGGUAUCUUAGAAUGAAUGGAUGUGGUGAAAAGGAGUUCCCAGUGGGAUAUUACCAAAACUCUCUCACCUGCAAGUCUUUGUACUAGAAGAGUUAAUGGGGGAAUGUUAUGCUCCGAUAACAGUUAAAGGAAAGGAAGUACGAUCCUUGAGAUAUUUGGAAACUUUGGAAUGCCAUUUCGAAGGUUUUUCUGACUUCGUGGAGUAUCUCAGAUCUCGGGAUGGGAUCCUAUCAUUAAGCACAUACAAAGUUUUAGUAGGAGAGGUGGGUAGGUAUUUAGAGCAAUGGAUUGAAGAUUAUCCAAGUAAAACAGUUGGGUUGGGUAAUUUGAGUAUCAACGGAAAUAGAGAUUUUCAGGUCAAGUUCUUAAAUGGCAUUCAAGGACUGAUUUGUCAAUGCAUCGAUGCAAGAAGUUUAUGUGAUGUUUUGUCAUUGGAGAAUGCAACUGAACUGGAGCGCAUCAGCAUUCGGGAUUGCAAUAACAUGGAGAGCUUGGUUUCAUCUUCUUGGUUCUGCUCUGCUCCACCACGUAACGGUACGUUUUCUGGUCUUAAAGAGUUUUUUUGUUAUAAUUGUGGAAGUAUGAAGAAGCUGUUCCCGCUUGUGUUGCUGCCAAACCUCGUAAACCUGGAAAGGAUUGAAGUGAGUUUCUGUGAGAAAAUGGAGGAGAUAAUAGGAACAACAGAUGAAGAAAGCAGCACCUCCAAUUCCAUCACGGAAGUCAUUCUCCCAAAGUUAAGAAGUCUGGCAUUGUAUGUGUUACCAGAACUGAAAAGCAUUUGUAGUGCAAAACUGAUUUGCAAUUCUCUUGAAGAUAUUAAGUUAAUGUAUUGUGAGAAGCUGAAGAGGAUGCCAAUUUGUCUUCCGUUGCUUGAAAAUGGCCAGCCAUCUCCUCCCCCUUCUCUUAGAACAGUCUAUUCAUGGCCAAAAGAAUGGUGGGAGACAGUAGUGGAGUGCGAGCAUCCUAAUGCAAAGGAUGUCCUUCGUCCCUUUGUAAAGUAAUAUAAUAUAGUGUGCUUACAAUUACAUAAAUAACAUUGUUCAUUUUUUUUAUUUCAUUAGUCAUAUUUUUGUUAACUCGAUAGAUAAAUAAUUAUAAUUUGAAGUUUGAUUAAUAUUAUAUUUUUAUCCUCAUUGAAUUUCUCCAAGAUGAAAAUCCAAAAAAUAAAAAAAAUACUAUAUUGAUUUAUCACUUAAGUAACCUAAUAAAAUAAUAAAUAAUCAGUGAAAGUAUUCUUCUACACACAUUUUUAAAAUGUCUAAGAGAGAGUAUGAAUAUGGCAGUUUUGGUUUCUAAACCUGAAACUGCCAUAUUCAUAAACACAUUUUUUAAAUAACUGAAACUUCUAAUACCAAAUUUAAUACUAAAACUAGAAAGUAGCAUAGGCGUGAUUUUUAAAAUUUUGAUCCCUUUAAUUUAAAUUUUUUUAAAAAGUCCUAAAAUCUAGGCAAUUUGUUUUUGACACAACCUGGGAUUAAAUAUAAUUUUUAAAUAUUUUUAAAUAGUUAAGAUUAAAUAAUUUUUUAAUUUAAAACAAUUCAAUUUCAAUAAAAUAUCAAAAUAUUAUGAAAUUAAAAUUAAUAUUUAAAAGAAGGUUUAAAGGUGGUUUGCCCAUUUAACCAAUACCCAUUUAAAACGCAAUAGCAAACUGGGAUUAAGCAACACAGAAUUAAUCAAAUAGUUUUUUGGAUAAUGAUAAUUUUGUUGGGCCACGGAAUUAGGUCACUGAAGAACUUUUUAGUAAAGGAUUAAUUACUAUGCUCUUAUCCACACAAUCCUUCAUCACCAUCCAAUCCCAUCACUGGAAAACUUAUCCUCUUUGAUCUCAAUGCCCUUCUGCCAUCCCCAAAUAUAUGCUUUUAUCCCUUUUCCUUUGUAUCUUGUCGUUUGUGUCUUUGUCCACUGGCUUAAGGGUGUUUAGUAAUUCUACAUACGGUUUUUUUAAAAAUAUUUUUCAAAUAUAAAUAUAUUAAUAUAAUGUUUUUAAAUUUUUUUUAAUACUAACAUAUUAAAAUUAUUAAAAAAAUAUUUUUUAAUCUAAAUACAUGCAAGCAAGAUGAUACAUAAUUCCUGCAUUUAAAAAAACACAUUUAUUAAUAGAGUGUUUGAAAAAUAUAGUACCAGUUAUUUUUUAAUUUGUUUUUUUAUAAAUAUAUUAAAAUAAUAUAUUUUUUUAUUUUUUAAAAGUUAUUUUUAAUAUGAUUAUAUGAAAAUAAUUUAAAAAUAUUAAAAAAAAUAUUGAUUUAAAAUUAAAAAAUAAUAAUUUUUUAAAAAUAAAACUUUUAAAAAAUAAAAAUAAAAAUAAAACACCAACCCUGACAUUAACCCAAUGUGAACCCAAUGACCUCAUCAUUUCUUUCUGUACAUUUUGCGUGUGUUAAAGGACGCUCCUAAGGCCAAGCUCAUAACAGGACACACGUGUCUAUCCAUACAAAAAUUGGUAUUAAAAAAUGUGUUGACACCAUUCGCUCUCUCCCUUUCCCACCUUCUUUCACUGUAUGUGUGUAUUAUUUAAGAAUGUGUGUCACCCGUCGUACCAAACCUCAAAUUUUAUUGAUAUUCACGGUAGGUUAAUUUGGUUGUUAAUUUUAGAAUUUGUAGAAAUUAAUAAAGAUAUAUAUAAGCUGGUUUGGAUAUUUUAUAUAAAUAAAAAAUAUUAAAUUUUAUUUUUUUAAUUUAAAAUUUGAUAUGUAUAACACAAUAUCUUAACUUAUUCUCAUCCUUUAUCUUUUUUAAAAAACAAAUACAUUAAUCAUGACGAUAAAUCCUCUUAACAAUGAGUAUUACAUUUAAUUCCAAUGCAUGUAAUUUUUCAAAUAUUAUUCUUUAUGUGGCAAUCUCAUUUAAUAAAUAAACUUUAUGUUUAUUAUUUGUGCUAUAUAGAUGUGUUUUCUCAAAUAAAUUGAGGUGCGUAUAAAUAGAAAGCAUCAUAAUAAAUAAAAUCUUUUUAAAAAUAAUAUACUUCAUAAUGGAAUUAAGUUUCAUUUUCAAUACAUGAUCCUUGAAUUUAAAUGAUAGCAUACUCUUAGUUAAAGGAUUUAUGAUCAUCAAUUCAAUAUAAAUGCGCUUAAUGAUGACUUUUUUUUCCUAUGUUUACUUUGACUACAAUUUUUAUUAUUCUUGGCCUUCAAAACAACAAAACCGAUUGACGUGCUGCUGGUAUUUUCAUUGUGUAUACAUGGAUGCAAGGUGUACGUAGAAACUUUUGGUAAAAAAGAGGGGGUAUACUUAGCAUGAUCUUGUUUAAUUGAUAAAAUGUUUUAAUUAAUAAAAGAAUGACGAGUUUCAAAUCCUACUAUAACCAAUUUGAUCUUGUUUUUUUUUUUUUUUUUUUGUCAAAGUACCUUGUGGGUCAGAUUGGGUUUUGACUGGAUAUGGUUACUGAAUCUCUUAUUUGGUUAAACUUCAAAUCUAGCCCAGCUUUCAUGUCAAUCUACUAGGUCUAGAGUUGAAUUUAUUAAUAUGAAAUAUUUCUUUUUUAUAUAGUGUGCUUACAAUUACAUAAAUAAUAUUUUUUAUUUGUUUCAUUAUUUUUUAAGACUAUUAAUGAAUUGUCAUAUUUUUUUUAACUCGAUAGAUAAAUGAUUAUAACUUGAAGUUUGAUUAAUAUUAUUUUUCAUCCUAUUGAGUUUCCCCAAGAUGAAAAUCCAAAAAAAAAAAAAACUAUAUUGAUUUAUCAUUAAAGUAACCUAAUAAAAUAAUAGAUCUAUUCACUAGUACAAAUCAUGCAUCUAAUAUCAUUAACUAGCAAUAAAUUAUUUUUUAAAAUAUAUAAUAAAAAUUACCAAGAAAAAGAGAGAGAGAAGACACUUUAAAAAAAUAAUAACCAAGUUACAUGACUUGAAAUUUUAAAAAUUUUAUAAGAAUAUAUUUAGAAUAAAAUUUCAUACCUUUAUCUAUUUUUCUCAUGUCAUCUUAGUCUUAUUCGGAGGAAAAAAAAUUUAAAUUCAUUCUAUUUUUUUAAUUUUCCUUAUGAUUUUUAAAUUUUUAUUUUUAAGCUUUUUAGGUUUUAUGAACAAUAUAAGAAAAACUAAAAAGAUUGGUUAAUCCACUGUACAUGAAGACACAUGUUCCUAUGCAUUAUAUUAAGGAUUUGUUUAAGAGCGUGAUAAAAAUUAUAUUGCAAAAUGUGUUUUUAUUUAGAAAUAUAUUAAAAUAAUAUAUUAAAAUUUUUAAAUUUUUUUUAAUAUUAUCACAUUAAAAAAAUAGAAAAACACACAAAAAAAAAUAAUUUAAAUUUUAUUUUUUCCAAAAUGGUAAUGAGCAUUUUUCCAAUCUGUUGGGGGUGAUGCUGGUGGGCUUGGUGUUGCCUCAUGUAGCUUUCCAAAGUUUUAACAUUACAGUUAAUAGCUCCAAUUCUUUUGCACAUUACCUUGCUUUCAUGUAAUAUUAUAUUAUUUAUUAUACAUGUAAUAUUUUCACAGCAAAGAAUAUUGUAAUGUUAAAUACGUACACGUAGAACUUCACGAGAUGGGGUAAUCGGUUAAGCACGUCAAACAAUCAUAAAAUCCUUGUUCUUCUGCUUUCAAGAAUGUAACAAUAAAAUAAUAUUUUUUUAUUUUUUAAAAUGUAUUUUUAUUCAACAUAUCAAAACGGUACACAAAUAUAAAAAAUUCAAAUUUAAAUAAAAAAUAAAAUUUAACCAAUACCCAUUUAAAACGCAAUAGCAAACUGGGAUUAAGAAACACGGAAUUAAUCAAAUAGUUUUUUGGAUAAUGAUAAUUUUGUUGGGCCACGGAAUUAGGUCACUGAAGAACUUUUUAGUAAAUGAUUAAUUACUAUGCUCUUAUCCACACAAUCCUUCAUCACCAUCCAAUCCCAUCACUGGAAAACUUUUCCUCUUUGAUCUCAAUGCCCUUCUGUCAUCCCCAAAUAUAUGCUUUUAUCCCUUUUCCUUUGUAUGUUGUCGUUUGUGUCUUCGUCCACUGGCUUAAGGGUGUUUAGUAAUUCAUACGGUUUUUUUAAAAAUAUUUUUCAAAUAAAAAUAUAUUAAUAUAAUGUUUUUUUAAUUUUUUUUAAUACUACAGCAUCAAAAUUAUUAAAAAAAUAUUUUUUUAUCCAGUACAUACAAGCAAGCUAAUACAUCAUUCCCGCAUUAAAAAAGAACACAUUUAAUAAUAAAGUGUUUAAAAAUAUGGUAAUGGUUGAUUUUUAAAUUGUUUUUUUCUUAGAAAUAUUUUAAAAUAAUAUAUUUUUUUAUUUUUUAAAAAUCAUUUUUAAUAUCAUUAUAUUAAAAUAAUUUAAAAAUAUUAAAAAAUAAUAUUUUUUUUAAAAUAAUACUUUUAAAAUAUAAAAAUAAAACACAAACCCUAACCUCAAUAUUAUGUGAACCCAAUGACCUCAUCAUUUCUUUCUGUACAUUUUGCGUGUGUUAAAGGACGCUCCUAACUCCUAAGGCCACGCUCAUUUUUUUUCCCUGUUUGUGGGACUCCAAUUUAUUCUGAACUCUUGUCAGUCUUGACACCUUUCGCUCUCUCCCUUUCCCACCUUCUUAUUCAAUUAUUCAAUUCAAUUAGGAACCUGAUAGGAGUUGGAUUUUAAGUCUAGAUUUUGAUUUAUUAUAUAUUUUUUAAAUUGAUUUUUUUUAUUUUCUCCAUUAAUAUCUUUCUUUACGGGUAAAUAAAAAAACAUAUUUCAUUAUUCUUUUUUAGAAGAUAUUUGGAAUCAUUUGCUGGAUCUAUUUUCUGUUUUUAUUUUCAAAUUUUGAAAUGACUCCUCAGGAAACAAUUCCAGCCACUUAUUUGUCAUGAAAUUUGGAUGAUGUAUAAUUCCAAGUGGGCAUGCUGCAUUUCUUAGCCAGGUGUAGCAAGAAUUGAGGUAGCUUGUUUCUGGCUUUUGCUUCUCGGGGUAUGAUUUGUUGUGUUUUCGUUUUUUUUGCUAAUUUAUCUAAAUAUGAACUUUAAAAUCUUUUAAAUGAAACUAGCGUUCUUGAUUUCUAGGCGGUAGAUAUAACAGUAAUAUUAUUAAAAUGAAAAUAAAAAUAAAUAAAUAAAUAUGCUCAGACUUUUACCAUGUAGCAAUAGAGAAAACACGGCGUCUCUCUGUUUUUUUUUAAGCAUUUUUGUUUUUAAUUUCAUUAUAAUAAUUUAUUUCAAAAAGCUUAUUAUGAAGCUCUCACAGUUUAAGAAAAAACAUUUCAAUGUAGAGUUGAAGCUCUCACAGACAAGUCAAGGCCCAGGACUAGGAGUCGUGAAAUUCACUUUGAACCAGCCUGGACGCACUUAAAAUAGUAAUUCUGUUUUCUUAAUUUUACGAAUAAUUCACUCAAGGAGAGAUUGCUUAUAGAACUCCCUUUUGUUCAUCAGAAUAAACAAAGGGGGAUUUGGGAUAUAUGCAUUACAAAGAUGCGGAGCUUUGUCCCUUCAUAUAAACUCUCAUAUAUAGAAAUCAUCGGAUGAGGAAAUAGAUCGAAACAUAGCUAAUUAAUAGUAUAUUAAAGUAAUAUAAUUUUAGAAGAUGGAAAUAUUAUGAGAACCCACUAAUUAUAUGUAUGCAAAAAAACAAUCAAUUUUGAAUAAACUUGCAAAACCAGGUGUUUGCUUUGGCUUAAGGAAGUGCCUUCUGGUUUUUAGCACCAAAUUAAAAGAGAGGUGUGCAUAUAUAUAAGAAACUUCACAGAUUAAAUUGACCAGAAACUCUAAUUGUUGUCAUGAUUAAUUGCAUGUAGAAAAAUCCUGACAAUAAAUUUUUUUUUGUUUUUAUUAUUUAUGUUUUGGUUCUUUAGUAAUAAGGGUAUGAUCGAGGACCACACAACCCAUUUCACUGAUCACAAAUUCAAGAGAAAGGAACAGUACAAGCAAUGGACAAGGAGAAACAGACGACCAUACAAAUAAGAGUCGGGAGGCCGAAUGUAUUGGGGCAGCCACCUCUCUGUUUUUAAAAAAGCGUAAGCGUGUGCUCCUCUUCUCGGUCAACAGUCAAAACUAUUUUAUUUCUUAAACUUUACGCAGCACGGGCCACUUUUCUUGGCUUUUUGCUCAGAUGAUUUUUGUAUUAUAGCUCUUUUUAUUAUUGUUAUUAUUUCAGAAAAAUAUCCUGAACUGGAAAAUAAAAUGGAGCUGCUCGUCUCGCAACAUGUGAUCCUCGUAGGGCUUAAGUCUAACCAGAUUCACUGAUCAAUAAAGAAAAUUAUCAUUGUAACAAUUUUUUUAAAAUAUUUGUUAUUAAAAAAUAUAUUAAAAUAAUAAAUUUUUUAUUUUAAAAAAAUUAUUUUUUAUAGCAACAGAACAGUAUAUAAAUAUAAAAAUAAUCAAAUUUAAAUAAAUAAAAUAAAAUUUAACCAAUACCCAUUUAAAACGAAAUAGCAAACUGGGAUUAAGAAACACAGAAUUAAUCAAAUAGUAUUUUGGAUAAUGAUAAUUUUGUUGGGCCACCGAAUUAGGUCACUGAAGAACUUUUUAGUAAAGGAUUAAUUACUAUGCUCUUAUCCACACAAUCCUUCAUCACCAUCCAAUCCCAUCACUGGAAAACUUAUCCUCUUUGAUCUCAAUGCCCUUCUGCCAUCCCCAAAUAUAAGCUUUUAUCCCUUUUCCUUUGUAUUUUGUCGUUUGUGUCUGUCCACUGGCUUAAGGGUGUUUAGUAAUUCUAUAUACGGUUUUUUAAAAAAUAUUUUUUAAAUAAAAAUAUAUUAAUAUAAUAUUUUUAAACAUUUUUUAAUACUAACACAUUAAAAUUAUUAAAAAAAUAUUUUUUAAUCUAUUACAUACAAGCAAGCUGAUACAUAAUUCCCACAUUAAAAAAAGAUAUUUAUUAAUAAAGUGUUUGAAGUUGUUUUUUAAAUUAUUUUUUAUUUAAAAAUACAUUAAAAUAAUUUUUUUUAUUUUUUUUAAAUUAUUUUUAAUAUCAUCAUAUCAAAAUAAUCUAAAUAAAUUAAAAAAUAAUAAUUUAUUUUAAAAAAUACUUUUAAAAUAUAAAAAUAAAACACAAACCCUAACCUCAACCCUUUGUGAACCCAAUGACCUCAUCAUUUCUUUCUGUACAUUUUGCGUGUGUUAAAGGACGCUCCUAAGGCCACGCUCAUAACAGGACGGUGGAUGAUUACGACCAGAACAAGGGUUUAUCAAGGAUCGGAAGAGGGCCAGGAGGGUUUAGAGGACACGUGUCAAGUCUUAUCAUAAAGGUUAAAAGGUGAUUCAUGAGAUUAAGCAAGUCCUUUGAACCAGCCGCCAUCUUUGACCCUCUCCUCUGGAAUACCACUACGGGCCACAAUAUGGAUCCUUUUUUGUUUCCUGUCAAUUAUUCAAUUCAAGUAGGAACCUGAUACGAGUUAGAUUUUAAGUCUAGAUUUUGAUUUAUUAUAUAUUUUUUAAAUUGAUUUUUUUUAUUUUUCUCCAUUAAUAUCUUUCCUUACGGGUAAAUAAAAAAAACAUAUUUCAUUGUUCUUUUUAGAAGAUAUUUGGAAUCAUUUGCUGGAUCUAUUUUCUGUUUUUAUUUUCAAAUUUUGAACUGACUCCUCAGGAAACAAUUCCAACCAAUUAUCUGCCAUGGAAUUUGGAGGAUGUAUAAUUCCAAGUGGGCAUGCUGCAUUUCUUAGCCAGGUGGAGCAAGAAUUGAGGUAGCUUGUUUCUGGCUUUUGCUUCUCUGGGUAUGAUUUGUUGUGUUUUCGUCCUUUCUGUUAAUUUAUCUAAAUAUAAACUUUAUAAUCUUUUAAAUGAAAUUAGCGUUCUUGAUUUCUAGGUGGUAGAUAUAACAGUAAUAUUAUUAAAAUAAAAAUAAAUAAAUAAAUAUGCUUAGACUUUUACCAUGUAGCAAUAGAGAAAACAUGACGUCUCUCUGUUUUUUUUUUAAGCAUUUUUGUUUUUAAUUUCAUUAUAAUAAUUUAUUUCAAUAAGCUUAGCAUGCUUAUUAUGAAGCUCUCACACAAUAUUAUUAAAAUUNNNNNNNNNNNNNNNNNNNNNNNNNNNNNNNNNNNNNNNNNNNNNNNNNNNNNNNNNNNNNNNNNNNNNNNNNNNNNNNNNNNNNNNNNNNNNNNNNNNNUUUUAAUAUUAGCACAUCAAUAUCAAAACAUUAUAGGAACACUAAAACAAAUUUAAUUUAAAAUAAAAAAAAUUUAAAGUUUUAUAAAAAACAAGGUUUGACUGCACCAUGUCUCAGUCAUAUAAGUUGAUAUAUGUGUUUGGAUGGGAGGUAAAUUGUGUUUUUUUAGGUUAAAAGUAUAUUUUUUUAGCUUUUGAAAAUAUAAUUUAUACUUAAAAGAUUUUAUAUCUUAAAAAAAAAAUACAACUACAUCUUCGAGCCAAACACGUGCUUGAGUGAUUCUUGGCAAUCAAUUCCUGGAUCAAGACGAUAAGGUCCAGCCAGAGGUAAAACCUGAUGCAGCUACCGACUUAAAUAUUUUCAUUUAAGGAAGUGCAGCGUUUGUGUCCCGAGAGAAGCCACCAGGCAAAUACUAAGAUCAUUUUUUAUUUUAUAAUGUAAAUGUAUUUUUCAAAAAAAAGUUAAAAUUUGUUUUAUUUUAAAUUAAUUUUUUUUAAUAUUUUUAAAUUAUUUUAAUGUAUUAAUAUCAAAAAUAAAUUUUUUAAAAAAUAUUAUUUAUACAUAUUUUUAAAUAAAAAAUACUUUAAAAAUCAAAUCUCAUUUCAAACUGGCAGUGCCCUGUACCAAACUAUAUUAUCAACAAGAUUUUCCUCGUAUGAAUUAAAGCAUUCUGCAUUUGACACAACUUGAAAAACAUGUUUCUUCUUAAAUUAUUAUUUCCAUGUGUUUUUUAAAAUCUAAAUAUUUGAGAAUUGGUGGGGUUGAUUUUGUUAGCUUGAUAUGCUUUCGUCUUUGCUAUCCAUUUUUUUUUUGGUUACUUUUGUAUGCUUUCCUCUGUUGCUAAUAUCCACCUCAGCAAGUAGCAUCUAGUUAUAAACACCUUGGGUAUAUUAGUAAAAUAGAAAAACAUUCAUUAUAAUUUGUCUCACAAAAAUUUCAAGGUUAAGUAAAAUCACUCUGCUCUGAUAGACACACUCAAAUGCAGAAAGAUAAAAACUACCAAAUACACCUUAAACCCUGUUUAUUUUUAUAUUUUAAAAAUACUUUUAAAACAAUUUAAAUGUUAGACUGGUUUAUCUUUACAAUCGCAAUGUGUUUUUAAAAAAUAUAUUUUUAAUAUUUUUUAAUUAUUUUGAUAUUAUGAUAUAAAAAAUAAAAAAUUUAAAAAAUUAUUUUAAUAUAUUUCUAAAUAAAAAAUAUUUUUAAAAAAUAUUUACAGCAUGCAUAAAUAUACUAUUCUUCUUAGAAAAUUUCAUGUGUUUACAUUUUCUUGGCAGCUUCUUCGAAGUUUCAACAUUGGUGGGGGUCCACACGUUAACUUUUUAUAUCUUAUAAUAUAAUAUGUGUGUUUGGUAGUGAUAAUUUUUUUAUUAAUUUUUUUUUAAAUAUACAUUAUAUUUUUUUAAAUUAAAAAUAUAUAUUUUUUAUAUGGCCAUAAAAAAAAACCAAAAUAAUCUCCAAACACUCUCAUGUUUGGUAGGUGAGCGGUGGGUUGCUUCCUGACAACGUCCUUACUAUCAGGCAAUACGUUAAUUAAUUAUUAUUUUAGCUGAUUAUUUUAUUUUUAAUUUUAUAUUCAUGGGAAUUUGAGGUUAAUAAUUUAUUUUAAUUAAUUAUGAAGUUCUCAAGGUAAAAAAAAAAAAAAGCUUCAACGAUUAAUUUAAGUUGGUAUUUGAUUUGAUAAAAUUUUAUUCAAUUUAAUUUAUUAAAAAUAAUUGAAACUUUGAACAUCAAAUAUGAUACUGAAAUAAAAAAGCAGCCUGUUGUGUUUUUCAAAAUUCUGUUCCCUAGAGUUUUUGCAUUUUGCAUUUUAAUUUUAAUUUUUGAUUUUUAAUUUUAAUUCAAAAUUUUAUUUUAUUAAUUUUUUAAUCUAUGAAUUUGAGAUAAAAAAUCACUAAAAAACUCGGAAAAAAUGGAAAAUUAUUGGCCGACAAUUUUAGCAACAAAAAAACACGAUAAUCCUUGUAUUAAUGGAAAACUAGUGUGCAGAUUGGAUAUCAAAUCAUACUUUAUAGGUCGAGGGCUAAAAAUAUAAAUCUGUAGAAGGGUGUUGGAAAAAAUAAUAAUUUCCAUUGGUGUGGAAAAGUUUAAAGUUCAGAUAUACUAUUAUAGAAUAAGAUAAUUUGAUGGUGUAAUAAUUAUUAUUUUUUAAAUUAUUUUUUUAUUUAAAAAUAUAUUAAAAUAAUAUUUUUUUAUUUUUUAAAAUUUAUUUUUAAUAUUAAAAUGUCAACACAAAAUGCACAUAGUUGUAAAACAUGAUAGGAGGAAGUUUGAGUCAUAGAUUAAGAGAGGCGUUUUAUUUUUUUUUAAAAAUCAAAAUAAUAUUAUUUUAAUAUUUUUUUUUAUAAAAAAUUAAGGAAUUAAAAGCUGAGUAAAUCAAGUUAAGAAAUCACUUAGAUUCUUGAUUAAAUCAGCUGAUGACCCGUUAACUUUGGCAGGUAUACAUUAAUUUAUUUUCUUGGCAGGUUCUUCGAAGCGUCAACAUUGGGGCGGGUCCACACGUUAACUUUCUAUAUCUUAUAAUGUAAUAUGUUUGGGUUGCUUCCUGGCAACUUCCUUCCUUCCUAUCAAACAAUACUUUAAUUAAUUAAUUAAUAAAUAAAUAAUAGUAUUUGUAACAUUCGCUAGCGGCUGUAACAUUCGCUUCCACAUCUCCUCUCAUUAUAGAAUUCUCUACUUUCCUUUCCACAUCUCAUGAUCAGUGCGAACUAGAUUUAUGUAUGCUGCAACUUUAUUAUUUUUCUAAACCAUACAUUCUUCUCUGAUCUGUGAUUUCUCUUCCUUUUCUUUUGGCUGAUCACUGCUUAAGCAAACCAGCACUUGAAGAACAUCUUGAAUCCAGGCAAAUUAUUUGUCAUUCAUCUUGUCUGAAUCUUUAAAGUAAUCCAUGAUAAAUAGAUAGAUCUUUUUCUCAGAUUUUAUAAUCCAUGCCCUGUGGUGUUCAUACUGAUUAAAUUAACCCCAAACGUUGAAUUCAUUGUUUUCGUCUUUUCAAGAUUCUUUGCUGUUUUUAACUCCUUAUUUUAGAUUCACCCUUUUCUUUUCCAAUUAAUGGGACUGCCAUUGAUUUUUAAUUAAUAUUUUUCGACUUUUGUUUCUUACAAUGAUUCAAUGAAUUAACUUGAUCGGUAAUUACCUUUCAAUAAACAAAAUAAGAAUAAUUAAAAAAGAAUAAAUAGGAGUUGAAAGAGGUUUGUUUAACAGUAAACAAUGAAUCUUGCAUUUGUUUUGCUCCCCAAAUUAUGAAUAAAGAGGAGUUGAAAGAGGUUUCUGUUCACCCCGUCAAAACAAUCAGCUCUUCUACCUUCAACAGUUAUCCUGCAUCUUUCUAUCUAUCAUAAAAAGAAUUUGAGUAUGAUAAUUUAUCUUAAAAGACAAAGGAUUAAAUCAUUAACAACAACAUUUAUAUUUCAUAUUUUUCAUCCGAAUUUCUUUAACAAACAAGAAAGUCAUAUAUAUAUAUAUAUAUUCUUUUCUGAUCUGUGCUUUCUGUUCUUUUUAGACCUCAGUUUUUUUUGUCUUUUCUGAUCUUUUCUGGUCAGAUGGAAGGGUUCCAACCAUCUUUUAUGGAGGAGGUUGACAACAUGACAUGGGAUCAGCUGGGUUUUCAAUCAGAAGAAGAUACAUUCAAUAUGUCUGAGCUUCUCUCGUACGUCAUUCUUAAGCAUAUUUUAUCAGAAGAUGAUUGCUUGCAGUUUAGUUAUUCUUCAGUUUAUCCUAUUAUUCCCAAAAAACAAUAUAAUGUCGUCACUGUCCAUGGAAGCAGGCCGCCACCGGAGGUUCCAGUCAACCAAAGCUCCAUAUCAUGCAAUGAUCAAGGUGGACAGAACAAUUUGAUCAACGAUAGUAUUCAACAAACAACUCAGUUUCCAACUUCAUUUCCUGAAACAAUGGUGAGUACUCCAAUUUGCUACAAUGUCCAUUGAAUUAGCAAGUGUUUGUAUUAUACAAAAAAGUUUUAUGUUUAGUGUAUCGAUCUCGAGCAUCUUCAAAUUGUUUACUGUUAAACAAAUAGACAACAAUUGGGAGAUUUAGACAUUUUUUAUGAUAUUUUUUUAUCAUUAAGUUUUAUAUAAAAUUGGCCUCAAACUCCAUCAAGGCAUCAUAAUUCCUUUAUUCAUCAACCUCAGCCGGGACAUGGCUAUAUGACACCGAACGCAACCACUUCACAACAUGAUGGCUUCAAUCAACCGAAAUUUUCUAAAUAUGGACUUUAGAAUCCUUCUUGAUUUCUUGACGGUAGAAAUAACAGGACUAUUAUUAAAAUAAAAAUAAAUAAAUAAAUAUGCUCAGACUCUUACCAUGUACCAAUAGAGAAAACAAGGUAGAUGUCUCUCUGUUUUUUUUUAUAAAGCAUUUUUGUUUUUAAUUUCAUUUGAUAAUUUAUUUCAAUAAACUUGUUAUGGAGCUCUUGUGGUCUAAGAAGAAAAAACAAUUCAAUGUAGAGUUGAUGUUUGACUUAACAAGAUUUUGUUCAAUUUAAUUGAUUAAAAAUAAGUGAAAUUUUGACCGUCAAAUUUGAUAUUAAAAUUUUGAAGAUAAAUAUUGAAGACUGAAUUUGAUAUUAAAACUAAAAAUAAGUAGAAAGUUUUUACAAAGGUAAAUGUUAUGAAAAGAAAUUGCUAUCCAACUGGUGUGCAGAUUGGAUAGCAAAUCAAGCUAUGUUGAAGUUUUCUACUGCAGUGAAGCUCCCUCUGGUUGCUUGAAGCUAAUGCCUGAUUGUUGCGUUCCUGGGAUUUUGAUAAGUGUAUGAAAGUCUAUUUUAUCAUUAAUUUGUUUUUAUGUUUUAAAAAUAUUUUAAAAAAAUUAAUUUUUUAUUUUAAAUUUAUUCUAACUCUUUUGUUUUAUCAUUCUCAAAGUCCAAACAACAACGGUACUGUCAAGAUUGUUAUGUUUAUGCCCGCAAUCUAAACGUAAUUUGUUUUUGUACUCAGAGUUAUGUUUAUUAAAAAAUCUGGUUAUUUUAAAAAAAUAUUAAAUUAAUAUUUUUUAAUUUAUUAAUAUUAAAAAUAAAAAAAUAUUUUGAUUACUCAGAAUAAAUAAGAAGCUUUAUAAUAGUUAAGAAACGUAUUCCAAAGUUUAGUUUACUGGUUGACUCACAUAUUAACUGAAUAACUUGAGUAAAAAAGAAAACCACAUCAUAUUAUGAUGGUAUUUAUUAAAAAAUAAAAAUAAAAUAACAAUAUUUUUUUUUAAUAUUAUCUUUUUAAAUAUUUUUAUUUUAAAAAAGUUUCACAUAGUUGUAGGUAAAAAAAAAAAAAAGAUGUUUUAAUUUAGCAACGAUGGAGCAUCCACAAGAAAGAUAUUAUACGGUUAUUAAUUUUCAUUAAAAGAAAAGCUAAGAGACUUGGGAGAACUACUUCAUUGUAAAUUACAAUAGUACGCAAUUCAAGGUGUUUUGCCUUUUUUGUUUUGUUUUUUAAAAUUUGUUUUUGUUUAUUUUAUAAUAGGCUGGUUAUAAUUCAGCUUUAAUUUAUUAAUUUUUAUUCUAUUUUUUUAUAAGAUUAACGUAAUUUAUAGGUUUGUUAAAAUAACUCAAAUUAUACUAGUUUUCAGAUUUGGUGGGAUAUUUUUUUGUUUAUUAAUUAAAAGAAAAACUAAAAGGUAUAAGAGAAUCACUAUUUACCCACACUCAAUUCAUUAUAAAUUACAAUAGUAAUCUAUAGUGUUUUGUCUUUUCCCUUUUUUUCCUUUUUUUUUAUCAUUUUUAAAAAUAAUUUUUUUGUCUAUUUCAUAUUUGGGCCGAAUUAGCAUAUAUAUAUAUAUAUAUAUAUAUAUAUAUAUAUAUAUAUAUUGGGUUGGUGUUUAAUUUUACAAGUAAGUAUCUAUUUUUGUUAUCAUAUUAUUAAAUAAAAAUAAUUUUUUAAAAAAGUAUACUCCUAGUUAAGUCCAUAACCUUGUUCAUGGGUUAGAUGUGCUAGCCUAAGUUACCUGAUUCACGAGUUUGACAGGUUUAUCAAUUGAUCGAAUAUGUUUUUUUUUCUAGUCUUUUAAUUUUUUUAAUUGAUUUUUUUUAUAAUUUUGUCCUUCAAUAUUAGAUUGGUUUGGAAAUAGACUAAAUGAUUUAUUUUUGUUUGCUUUCUAUAGGGUUAUCAAAAUCUUAAAUAAAUAUUUAUUUUAGGGAUGAUACUCAAUUUUAUGAGCAUUUAUUUUUAUCAUAUAAUUAAAUUAAAAAAAAACUUAAAAAAAUUACUAAACCCAAUAGAAUCCAUGACCCAGAUCGCGAGGGACCGGGAUCGAUCAAAUUUGUCAUUGUUUCAAUUUUUUUUUUUUAAAAAAAGUUGUUGUCUAGAAGUUUUUAUUAAAAAACUAAGCCAUGCUUUACUAGUUUUCUAAGUUGUAUUUAGAUAUUAAUUGAUUUAAAUUGAGUUAAUUUCCAUACAAUUUAAUUAAAAACUUAAAUUAAAUAAAAAAUUAGAUUAAAAGAUUUUAAUAUCAACUCCCCUAACCAGGUUUAAUAAUAUCGCCAACAAACUUUCUUCACUCUUAACAUUUUAUUUUUAUAUUUUUUAAAAAUUAAUCCCCUAAAAAAACUAUGACAUAUUAUUGAGUGUAGGUUUUGUUUAUUAAAAGUAAGGAUUGAGUCUUUGACUGCAUGUAAUGGCAUUGACUGAAAACCUUUAAUCACAUGCUAUUAAUCUGUUAUUGUUAGAGCACAUGCUUUUCAAAAACUUUGAAUUAUUUUCCUUUUAAAUUAUUAUUUUUUUAUUAAAAAUAAAUUUAAAAAAUAAAAAAAUUAUUAUUUUAAUUAUUUUAAAUAAAAAAUAUUUUUAAAAGAAAAGUAUAUUAUUGUUUCUCAUAUUCAUGUGUUUACAUUUUCUAGGAAUCUUCUUCUAAGCUUCAUAAUUGGGUAGGUAAAGUAGUGUUUUUAACUCCUUAUUUUAGAUUCACCCUUUUCUUUUCCAAUUAAUGGGACUGCCAUUAAAAUAUGCUUUUCACCAUUUAUUUGUUUUUCUUUUAUUUUGACUUACGUAACGUGUGUACCCAGCAAUCCACUCGUGUGUGUGUCUAUAUAUAUAUAUAUAUAUAUAUAUAUAUAUAUAUAUAUUAAUUUGCUAUGUGCUUUCUGUUCUUUUUUCACCUCAGUAUGUACUAAUCAUCUUGUACUUUUGGUCAGAUGGAAGGGUUCCCACCAUCUUCUAUGGAUGAUCUUGAAUCACUAUUUCUCUCGUACGUCAUUCUUAAACAUAUUUUAUCAGAAGAUGAUUGCUUGCAAUGUAGUUAUUCUUCCGUUUAUCCUAAUAUAUUAUUCCAUGGAAGUAGGCCGGCACCGGAGGUUCCAGUCAACCAAGGCUCCAUAUUAUGCAAUGAUCAAGGUGGACAUAAGAAUGUGAUCAACGAUAGUAUUCAACAAACAACUCAGUUUCCAACUUCAUUUCCUGAAACCAUGGUGAGUACUCAUGCUUACUCCAAUUUGCUACAAUGUCCAUUGAAUUAGGCAUCAUUAUUCCUUUAUUCAUCAACCUCAGACGGGACAUGGCUAUAUGACACCGAAUGCAACCACAUCACAACAUGGUGAAUUCAAUCAACCUGGACCUUCUUCUCUUGCUCCCUGGUAUCCAAUUUUUCAUUUUAGUAUUUUCUGAAAAAAAAAAAAAGUUUUUCAAUCAUUAUUUAACUUCUUCUUCUUCUUCCUCUUGUUGUUGUACUUAUCAGUGAAUUCAUUAUGUUUGAAUAUAGGUAUCAGCCUAAUCCUAAUUUAUUUGAUCCUCAAUGUGCCAAUCCUUUGAGGUAAGCUAAAAUGAUAUCAAAUACUUAGUGGAUUAAUAGCAAAGAAUUAUGCAUAUGUAUAAAGAAAUUACUAACAAGUGUUGCUAAUUUAGGGACCAACAAUUGACUAAUUAUCAGUUACCAAUGAGCAAUCAAGUGCCUGCGAUGCUACCUGGACCUCAUCCUCCAAUGAAUCAAUGGUAUUAACCUCGAAUAUAUAUACACUUUUUUAAUCAUGAAAACAAUAAACCAAAAUUGACAAGGAUCUUUCAAGUCUUUCUGAGCUCUCUCUCUCUCUCUCUCUUUUUGUGCACAUAAUGGAACUAGAAAAUCAACCAAGUUAGAAUAACAGUUCUAAGUUUAACUAUUUGAAUAUUAUUCAGGCAUCUGAACUCCAAGAAUUUAGUUUUUCAAUCAGGAAAGAAACAUCAUAGCUUGAACAUGAACCCACCAAGCUAAACAUAAGUUUGUAAUGCUUCAUAUUGUCUGCGAAUGAUUUUGGAUUCAGGAUUCAACAUUUUCCUAAUCAAGGACAAGUCGAUCAAGCUUUUGCAAUUCCUAAUAUAGACAAUAUGCAACAGGAGAACUUCGUGCCUCAAAACUUUGACAACUCUACUAGGUACUGAUCAAACUUUGGCAAUAUAUAUGCUGUCGUGUUUUAACACAGUAUUAAUACCUUUUUGAUAAUUAGAUACACCAUUGAUUUUUAGUGCUUAAGAGAGACUACCAAUUAUCGAAAGGUUUUAUAAUAUGAUCACUUCAUUUUCAUAUAGGUCACAGAUGGAUAACCUCCGAGUCCGAGGAUUGCAAAAUCAAACAGCUAGGCCAAAUGCCUCAAAUCCUGGCCUUGGCACUUCCCUGCAAAGUCAAAAUAGGGGUUUAAAUACUCAACAAGUAAGAAGUAUAACUGAAUUAUCGUCGUCUUUUUUCCCCCUUUGACUGUGCUCUAAACUAACUAUCAAUUUUAAUAACAAAAUAAGGGUAACUUGAUCCGUUAAUUUUUAUUCCAUAUUUUGACCGAUUUUUAUUCUAUAUUUGACUUCUUUUUUCUUCUAUAGGUCGAAAUGGUUGGAUCAAAUGAUCCGUUUUGGAAUUAUGUUGAAGAUGGGGCUGAUGAUGGUAGCAUGAAGUGUAUGUUUUGUCCACAUACAUAUGCCAUUAAAACUUCCAUUUCAAGGAUCAAAUGGCAUUUAUCAGGAGAGAGAGGGAACGGUGUUGCCAUUUGUCGUGGGGUGACUAAAGAAGUUCAAGAAGCAGCCUUUCAAGCUAUGUGUGGUGGCAACAAAAGACAUAAAAACACAGCAAGUUCAAUCAAUGUUAAUGAUUGUGGAAUUUCAACAAUGGUAGGAGGUAUUGGAAGGGUACAAAGAGAAGUUCAGGUUGUAGAACCCGGAGUAGGGGAAGAGAGGAUUACUUCACAAGCAAUAGCAGGAAACGACGAAGUAAGCAUGACGGGAAUGAGAGCACAAGAAGGUAGAGUUUCCAAAGGGGCACUCGAGAGCAGACUGAGGACAGAACCAGCGGAUCGAGCGUUGGAACAAAGCAAUGCAGUACUUGGCAAUUUGGCAGGAGUUCAGGGGGUGCUGGAACAAGGUGCCGGGGAAGAGAGAAUUAAUCGGGUUAGACAGAGGACAGAACCAGUGGAGGAGGAUGUGGAGUGGAGGAGGAUGUGGAGAAUAGUCAAAGAUCAGUGCAGGUUGGUGCUGGAGCUAGAUCUUCUGAAAGUCUGAAAUACAACAAGACUAGAGGAGUUCCAUUACCUACUAGCUCUACAAAGCCAGUGGGUCAAGCAUUCGAAGAGAAUACGAAGGUGAUAUGGUCUUUCUUAAUGGAUGGGGAUGUCUCAAUCAUUGGCAUUUAUGGGAUGGGAGGAGUUGGUAAAUCCAAAAUACUGAAACAUAUCCAUAAUGAGCUUCUACAACAACCAGAUAUUUGUGAUCAUGUUUGGUGGGUGACUGUAUCUCAAGAUUUCAGCAUUAACCGACUGCAGAAUCUUAUUGCUGAACAUUUUGAUCUAGAUCUUUCAAGAAAAAAUGAUGAACUGCAUAGAGCUGCCGAAUUGUCAGAAAAAUUAAAAAAAAAACAAAAAUAGAUUCUCAUUUUAGAUGAUUUGUGGAACAAUUUUAAGUUACACGAAGUGGGAAUUCCUGAGAAGUUGAAAGGAUGCAAGCUGAUUUUGACAACCCGAUCAGAAAGAGUUUGUCAUGGAAUUGCUUGCAAUCACAAAAUCCAAGUGAAGCCACUUUUUGAGGGAGAAGCUUGGACGUUGUUCAAGGAGAAUCUUGGACGUGACAUAGCACUUUCAUUAGAAGUGGAAGGAAUUGCGAAAGAUAUUGCAAAGGAAUGUGAUGGUUUGCCAUUGGGAAUUAUUACAGUGGCAGGAAGCUUGAGGGGAGUGGAUGACCUCCAUCAGUGGAGGAAUACAUUGACGAAAUUGAGAGAAUCAGAAUUUAGGGAUAUAGAUGAGAAGGUAUUCAGGUUAUUGAGGUUUAGUUAUGAUCGGUUAGGUGAUUUAGCACUACAACAAUGUCUCUUGUACUGUGCAUUAUUUCCUGAGGAUGAUCAUAUUAAAAGGGAAGAGUUGAUAGGUUAUUUGAUCGAUGAGGGAAUAAUUAAAAGAAAGAGGAGCAGGGGAGAUGCAUUUGAUGAGGGCCACACGAUGCUUAAUAAACUUGAAAAUGUCUGUCUAUUGGAAAGUGCUAAAAUGGAUUAUGAUGGUAGUAGAUGUUUCAAGAUGCAUGACUUGAUUAGGGACAUGGCCAUCCAAAUACUGCUAGAGAACUCUCAAGGCAUGGUCAAAGCAGGUGCACAAUUAAAAGAGUUGCCAGAUGCAGAGGAAUGGAUGGAGAAUCUGACGAGAGUUUCAUUAAUGCAAAACGAGAUCGAAGAAAUUCCUUCCAGCUAUUCACCAAGGUGUCCCUAUCUAUCAACUCUAUUUCUACGUGAUAAUGACCGGUUGAGAUUUGUUGCGGAUUCAUUUUUCAAGCAAUUGCAUGGGCUCAAGGUCCUCGAUCUGUCUUACAAAGGUAUUGAAAAUUUGCCAGACUCUGUCUCUGAUUUGGUGAGUCUCACUGCAUUAUUGCUCAAAGAGUGUGAGAACUUACGUCAUGUUCCAUCAUUAGAGAAGCUCAGGGCACUGAAGAGGUUGGAUCUCUAUUGGACUCCGCUUAAAAAGAUGCCGCAAGGAAUGGAAUGCCUAACCAACCUGAGGUAUCUUAGAAUGAAUGGAUGUGGUGAAAAGGAGUUUCCCAGUGGGAUAUUACCAAAACUCUCUCACCUGCAAGUCUUUGUACUAGAAGAGUUAAUGGGGCAAUUUUCUGAUUAUGCUCCGAUAACAGUUAAAGGAAAGGAAGUACGAUCCUUGAGAAAUUUGGAAAGUUUGGAAUGCCAUUUCGAAGGUUUCUCUGACUUCGUGGAGUAUCUCAGAUCUCGGGAUGGGAUCCAAUCAUUAAGCAAAUAUACAAUUAUAGUAGGAAUGGUGGAUACAGAUAAGUGGAUUGGCACUUGUGCUUUUCCAAGUAAAACAGUUGGGUUGGGUAAUUUGAGUAUCAACGGAGAUGGAGAUUUUCAGGUCAAGUACUUAAAUGGCAUUCAAGGACUGGUUUGUGAAUGCAUCGACGCAAGAAGUUUAUGUGAUGUUUUGUCAUUAGAGAAUGCAACUGAACUUGAGCUCAUCAGAAUUGAGGAUUGCAAUAACAUGGAGAGCUUGGUUUCAUCUUCUUGGUUCUGCUCUGCUCCACCACCAUUGCCAUCAUAUAAUGGUAUGUUUUCUAGUCUUAAAAUGUUUUAUUGUUAUGGAUGUGAAAGUAUGAAGAAGCUGUUCCCGCUUGUGCUGCUACCAAACUUCGUUAACCUGGAAAGGAUUGUUGUUGAGGAUUGUAAGAAAAUGGAGGAGAUAAUAGGAACAACAGAUGAAGAAAGCAGCACCUCCAAUUCCAUCACGGAAGUCAUUCUCCCAAAGUUAAGAACUCUGAGAUUGUUUGAAUUACCAGAACUGAAAAGCAUUUGCAGUGCAAAACUGAUUUGCAAUUCUCUUGAAGAUAUUGAUGUAGAGGAUUGUCAGAAGCUGAAGAGGAUGCCAAUUUGUCUUCCGUUGCUUGAAAAUGACCAGCCAUCUCCUCCCCCUUCUCUUAAAGAAAUCACGGUAUAUCCAGAAGAAUGGUGGGAGACAGUAGUGGAGUGGGAGCAUCCUAAUGCAAAGGAUGUCCUUCGUCGCUGUGUAAGGUUUUGGUAGGAGGAGACUCCUCUGCUGCCCUUAAUAUAAUAUAAUAUAAUAUAGAACAGAGGGUAAGCAUCAUCUCUCUCAAUCGAAUUGUACCUUUCGUAUUGUUAAUCCUUUCGUUGUUAGAAUACUUCUUUGUUGCAUCAUUUAUCAAUUCUAUCCUAAUGCAAAGGAUGUCCAAAGGACCUUUUUCUCUCGAAAUAAUUAAUAUGUAGAAUGGUUAAUUACUAACCAUUACUCCGUUAAAUGUAAUAAUACGUAUCCUUCUUUUAUUAUAGGCUGGUUUAGAAUUCAGCUAAGACAUCUAAUAAAAUAUUUUUAUUCUUAGAAAUUUUGUGAAGAACAAUCAGAAAACUAAUUUAAUUAGGGAUUAAUUGAGUAAUUAAUUACCUUAACCUUACAGAGGAUUUUCUUUUAAAAUCCCAAUAGCCUGAUUCUUGGAUCACAGAAGCUUGAGACAUGGCAUUCUAACAACUUCACUUCAACUUUAUUUUAUAUUUAUAAUAAAUAAAAAGCAUGACUGUGUUGAGAAUCUAUUUUCUGUUUUUAUUUUUCAAAUUUGAGAUGACUCCUCAAAAAACAAUUCCAACCAAUUAUUUGCCCUGGAAUUUGGAUGAUGUGUAAUUACAAGUGGGCAAUAGGUGGAGCAGGAAUUGAGGUAGCUUGUUUCUGGCUUUUGCUUCUCUGGGUAUGAUUUAUUGGGCUAGUUUAUAGGAUUUUUGUCCUUUCUGUUAAUUUUAUAUUAAUUUUUUUAAUUUUUAAUUUAAUUAUUUUUUUGUGUUUUCAAAUUGUUUUGAUGUGUUGAUAUUAAAAAUAAUUUUUUAAAAAUAAUAAUAAAAUAUUAUUUUGAUACAUUGCCAAAUAAAAGAUAUUUUGAAAAAUAAUUGAUAUUGUACUCUCAAACAUCCUUAAAUGCUCUAUUAUUGAAAUAAAAUGCUAAAAUGUGAAUAGAAAUAAUAGAAAUUAAUGUGUAUUUUUGAAUUAAAUUUCUAUUUACUUUGAUAUACUCUUGAACAGGUCUUUAUGUUUGAUUUCAGAGUUUAUAGAAGAGCAAGUCAAGGCCCAAUCAAAUUCAAAGGAGUCGUGAAAUUCACUUGAAACCAGCCUGGAUACACUUAAGUAUUUUAAUCACAACUUUUCACUCACAUAUCAGAUUGCUGUGAUUCUUGACGUGUUGGAAAGGUGUCUUAAAGGGCUACAAAUUAGCCUCUAAUGAGGAUUUCGAAAGAAGAACUCCUAAAGCAUGUACACGGGGAUCAUGGAGACGUGAUGAAAAAGGAGGGCUGCUUCCUUUAGAAAAAGGGAUAUUUGUUGGCAAUUGCGCCAGAGAAAAAAAAAAGAAAAAAAAAGAAAAAGGAGAGCAGGCAAGGAAAGGAAUGGCUAAUACAGUGAUGUGUAGCGAAAUUGUUCAGAUUUCCAAUUAUUCCAACUCUUUUGUUUUAUCAUUCUCGAAGUCCAAACAACAACGGUACUGCCAAGAUUGCUAUGCCCGCAAUUAAAAUAUAAUUUAUUUUUAUUUUUGGAAUUAUGUUUGAGUGCAUUUAAAAAUCUGUUUAUUUUAAAAAAAUAUUAAAUUUGAGUGCAUUUAAAAAUUUGUUUAUUUUAAAAAAAUAUUAAAUUAAUAUUUUUUAAUAUAUUAAUAUUAAAAAUAAAAAAAAUAUUUUGAUUACUAAUAACGAAUAGUUAAGAGACGUACUGGUUGACUCACAUAUUAACUGAUUAACCUGAGUAAAAAACAAAACCACAUCAUAUUAUUUAUUUAUAAAAACUAAAACGAUGGUAUUUAUUUUAAAAAAAACUAAAAUAACAAUGUUUUUUAAAAUAUUUUUAUUUUAAAAAAGUUUCACAUAGUUGUAGAUAAAAAAAAAUAUUUUAAUUUAGCAACGAUAAAGAAUCCAUAAGAAAGAUAUUAUACAGUUAUUAAUUUUCAUUAAAAGAAAAGCUAAGAGACUUGGGAGAACACCUAUUUAUUCACACCUAUUUCAUUGUAAAUUAUAAUAAGUAAUCUAAUGUGUUUUGUUUUUUUUUUUUGUUUUUUUUAUUAGUGGGCUGAUUUAAAAUUCAACUUUGUAAUUUAUUUAUUUUUAUUAUGUUUUUUAUAAGAUUAAUAUAAUUUACAGGUUUGUUAUAAUAACUCAAAUUAUAUUAAUUUACUGAUUUAAUAUUUUAAAAAAAUUAAUCCAGCACGGAAAAACACUAGCCACCAAAACUAGCACUAGGUUUUGUUCAUUAAAAGUAAGGAUGGAGUCUUUGACUAGCACUAGGUUUUGUAAAGCAAGGAUGGAGUCUGUGACUGCGUGUGCCUCUAAUCAGCAACAGAUUGGUAACGGCAACGAUUGAAAACCUUUAAUUUGUCUUCUAAUUUUUUCCCUAUUAGUAAUUGUUACGUAAUCAGAUUCGCUUCAUGUUCAAUAAUUGUUUUUUUAUUUUUUAAAAUUUAUUUAUUUUAUUUUUAAUAUUAAUAUAUUAAAAUUAUAAAAAAACAUUAAAAAAAUCUAUUUAUCUUUUUUAAAAAACAACUAAAAACAAAAGCAAUCACCUGCUCUUAAUUAAUCACAUCUUUAAUAUUUAAAACAUUGUUAAAGCACACGUUUUUCAAAAACUUUGAAUUUUUUUCUUUUUAAAUUAUUAUUUUUUUAUGAAUGAUGAAAAUAGUCCUUUAAAUCAACAAGGAUAUUUUUAUUAAUUGAUAUUAAAAUUACUUGCAUGAUGCUUUUGGAUUAAAGAUGCUCAAUGGUUGGAUUUGGGUCGGUUUGAAAUUGUAUUGCCAAUUCCAUAUUUCAAAGAAAAAUCGAAGCCUAACAUGAAUUCAUAGAAAGAGCGUUUAUUAAUAUGAAAUAUUUCUUUUUUAUAUUGUGUUCUUACAAUUACAUAAAUAACAUUUUUCAUUUUUUUAUUUAUUUCAUUAUCUUUUUAAGACUAUUCAUAUAUAUAUUUUUUAACUCGAUAGAUAAGUAAUUAUAAUUUGAAGUUUAAUUAAUAUUAUAUUUUCAUCCUAUUGAGUUUCUCCAAGAUAAAAAUCCAAAAAAUAAUAAAAAACAAUAUAUUGAUUUAUCAUUAAAGUAACCUAAUAAAGUAAUAUGUCUAUUCAUCAGUACAAAUCAUCUUAUAUCAUUAACUAGCAAUAAAUUAUUCUUUUAAAAUAUAUAAGAAAAACAAAUUAAAGAGAGAAGACAAUUUAAAAAAAGAAUGACAAUCGAAUUACAUGACUUGGAAUUUUGAAAUUUUUAUAAGGAUAUAUUUAGAAUAAAAUUUCAUACCUCUAUCUAUUUUCCUACUACAAAAAUUCAUUCUAUUUUUCUACAUUCGUCAAGAUUUUUUAAUCUGUAUUUUUAAGUUUUUUCUGUAUUUAUAGAAACAAAAAAAAAACUAAAAGGAUUGGUUAAUCAACUCCUCAAGAUUUUUUAAUUUGUAUUUUUUAAGUUUUUUUUUUGUCUUUAUGAACAACAUAAAGUUGUUUUUUCUGUCCAUUUACAAAAAUAUAUAUCAAAAUGAAGUUUUCUACUUAGUGCCUGGUGGUUUUGUCUGAAUAAAAGGGAUAGAUGCUAAGUUCUGAGUUCAAGGAAGAGAGACAAAAAGUGGAAGGGACAACUGUGUCGAUUGUUCUCUUGAUCUGAGCUUAUUCUGUAUCAUUUUGUUGGCUGCAUUAAUUAUACCUUCACCUCCAUACGCAACUCCUCUUCAUCUCUUAAUGUUAAUAAAAAUGUAAGAAUUUAGGAACAUUUUCACAAUGAAGAUUAACUCAUCUCCAUAGCAUAAUACAGGAAAUAGAAGAUCCAUUCAUUUCAUCGCAUCUCUUCGAACAUUCUUGAAUUCUGGUCAAUCCAAAUCACAACAAAUAUCGUAAACAUGUUAAAAGUAUUCUUCUACCUCAAUGAAUUUCAGUAAAACUACUACACAGAAGAUGAGUUUUGGUUUCUAAACCUGAAACUGCCAUCAUAAGAACUAGCUAGGGAAGUUAGGAUGAGCUUUUCUUGUCAUUAUAUCACUUUUUUCUGCUAAGAUAAUGCUCUCUAUAUUCUCUGCUACUAUUGCUUAUAAUUUUCUUGCCUCUGGUAUCUUUUCCAACCCAUUUGAGGGAUGCUUGUCGAAUAGAGUUGACCUAGGAAUCCAGAAGUUAUUGGUGACAGAGGAUUUGGAUCCUUUUUCGAGAAAAAGUGAGUUGAACUGUUACAUUUUGUUUACAUUAUCUUGUUGCACUAAAUCAAGAAGUUUACUAGACUUUUUAUUCUGUAAAUUUGCUUUCUGAAUGCUGAGCAUUUUAAACGACCAUGUGAUCGGAGAGAUUUGAUUCUCAUAUAAUUGUUGGCAGCUUAUUUGUGAGCCAAGAAGUAUUAUUGAAUAAAAAUACUUUUAUUCUUUAUUUUCGGCUGGAAAGUGAAUUGAACAUUUAUUAGCUGAGUUUUCUUCUCCAUUUUAUUGAAUAAAAAUGAUUUUUUUUCUGAUUUUAUUAAGUUUUUUUAUAAGCCUGAUAAUUUGUCAGGUAAUUUUAGUAGAGUCAUUACCUAUGUAUGCUGGUCAAAAGUCAUUCCCAUCAAUAAGAUGGAGUAGCAUGAACAAUUUAUUUAUUUAUUUGUGGUUUCUGCUAACGAUUUGUUUGAUGAUUAAUAUCGAUUUAUUUCCACUUUCAUAGUAGCCUAGGUGUGUUUUUUCCGGAAUGGUUAUGAGCAUUUUUCCAAUCUGCUGGGGGUGAUGUUGGUGAUUUUUAAUCUUGGGCUUUUGGCGAGGCUUCACGCUGCUACCUUUUUCGUUCAUGAAUUUGAGAUUAAAAAAAUCACCAAAAAGCUUGGAAAAAGAUAAAAAGUUAUUGGUUGAUAAUUUUUCAACAACAAAAAAACACGAUCUUUGUAUUAAUGGAAAAAUCAUGUGCAGAUUGGAUAGCAAAUCAUAAGCAUAUGUUUGGAAUUAUAAUAGCGGUUAUAAGAUAUUAAUUUGAUAAAAUUUGAUCGAUCCAAUCAAACUUAGUUUAUAUCUGAUUAGAUUAAUUAAAAAAAUAAAAUGAUAUUAUUUUAAUAAAAAUAAUUAAUUUGAAUUAACUUAAUAAAUGACAUAUAAUAUUAAAAAAUUAUCUUAAACCAAAAAAUUUAAACAGAUUUAAAAAUAUUAUAAUGUUACUUUCUCAUAAUUUAGUAAGGAUUUGGAAGAUAUAUAUUCAAAAACAAAUUUUAUCAUGAAAUUAAGUUAUUUAAAAAAUCUGAGUCAAUUAGAACAUUGUUUGGUAAGGUGAUGGACCAUAACAAAAACAUUAUUUUUUAUGUUUUUAUUGGCAAAAUAAAGGUAUAACCAUAUUACAUCAUGUUGCCAAACAAACACAAAUCUUGAAUUUUAUUUUUAUUUGUUUUUUUUUUUAAAUUGAAAAGGCAAAUAUACUAUCAUGGACUAAGAUAAUAUUUGAUAUUGUAGUAAUGAUUUUUUUCAAAGUAUUUUUUGUUUGGAAAUUUAUUGAAAUAAUAUUUAUAUUUUAUAUUAGUAUAUCAAAAUAAUGCAAAAAUAUUAAAAAAAACAUUAAUUUGAAGCCAAACAAAUAAUAAGAAUAUUUUCACCUCGGAUUGUAUCUCUUCAUCUUUAAAAUUGUAUCUAAAAAAAUAACUAAUAAAGUGUAAUUAAUUAAUCUAAUGCUGGAAUUAUUAUUUACCCUGGAAUUUGGAUGACGUAUAAUUCCAAGUGGGCAUGCUGCAUUUCUUAGCCAAUGAAACUAUAAUUUCUUCAUAAUUUUUCAAGUUCCAACAAUAAAUGUAAUUUUCGAACUAUUAAAUAUAUUAAAAUCUUAAAUGAUAACUUGAAAAAUAAAAUCAUUCAUCAAUCAAUUUAAGAUUUCUACACUGUAAUUUGUUAAUAUUAGUUAAAAAAAAUAUAAAUUUUAUGUAAAUAAAAAUAAUUUAAUUAACUGGUGUGGUGAAUCUCACUUCAUAACGAAUUCAUAUAUCGGUCCAAUAAAUUAGGUCCAAUUUAAUUAACUUGUGUGGUGUAUAUAUAUAUAUAUAUAAAAAUAAUCAUCAAUAGUUUUGACAUUAGAAGUCAAUUCACCAACAACUUAAAAAUUCAACCUCUUUAAUAAAAAUACUUUUUAUAUUAAAAAAGUUGAAUUUUCCAUGAAUGAUUGGUGAGAGAAUUUUUAUUGAUUUCAUAUAAUAAUAAUAGUUUUUUUUGUAAAAAUGAUACCGAGAAAAAAUAAUCACAAGUAUACAAGACAAAAUUCAACCUCUCCACAUUGAUGUGUUAGGUUGGAAUCCUUAAACUGUUUUUGCCACAGUUCUUCGACUAGGUUUUAAGUUUAGAUUUUGACUUGUUAUAUAUUUUUUAAAUUGAUUUUUUUUAAAAAAAUCAUUAAUAUCUUUCCUUACGGUAAAUAAAAAAAACAUAAUUCAUUCUUCUAUUUAGAAGAUAUUUGGAAUCAUUUGCUGGAUCUAUUUUCUGUUUUUAUUUUCAGAUUUUAAAAUGACCCCUCGGAAAACAAUUCCAACCAAUUAUUUGCCAUGGAAUUUGGACGCUGUAUAAUUCCAAGUGGGCAUGCUGCAUUUCUUAGCCAGGUGUAGCAAGAAUUGAGGUAGCUUGUUUCUGGCUUUUGCUUCUCGGGGUAUGAUUUGUUGGGCUAGUUUAUAGGCCUUUUGCACUAGGGUUUUUGUCCUUUCUGCUAAUUUAUCUAAAUAUAGGCUUUAGAAUUUUUUUAGAGUGUAUUUGGUAUUGCGGUAGUUGUUGUGGUUGUUGUUUAAAAAAAAUUGUUUUAUAAAAAGUACUUUUAGUUGUGAUUGGUUUGAAAAAAUAGGUGUUUGGUUAAAACUGUGGUUGAAAUUGAGGUUGAAGAAAAAGUAGUUUAAUGUGUUUGGUUAAGAAUGUUUUUGAAAUUGAGGUUAUAAAAUAAUUUAAAAAAAUAUAAAUUAAUAUUGAUGGUUUUUAAUUUAAAUAUUGUGGAUUUAACUAUUGCGGUAACAUUAUGAAAUAAAUCAUACUUUAUAUAUAAAAAAAUUUAUUGUUCUAUUAAACUAUCUACAAUUCCAUUACGUACAAAAUUUAUCUGACAAGAAAUACAGUUUCCAUAAUUUUUUAGCGUGUAAUAAAAUUAGAUAAAAUAUUAUCAUGUAUAAAAUUCACUCUAAAUUAGUUUUUUUAAAAAAAAUUAACAAAAAAAAAAACUUAACACACUAAAAAAAAUAAAAUAAUAAUAAUAAUAUUCACGCAGUGCAAGUGAACAGUGCAAGAAAAGUGCACUGUUCACUAUUUUUAACAUGAACAGUGCACUUUUCGUGCACUGUUCAUGAACAGUGCAUCAUUUUGCGCUGUUUAUGUUAAUUGCAUUGUUCAUUGAACAGUGCAAUUACGUGAACAGUGCAAAAAAAGCAUGUAAUUCUUGCUUUGCAAAUACUGCGUUUCCAACGCAGAAAACAGGUGGGACCCAGUGAACAGUAAACUGCUUUUUUUAGUAACCAAACGGCUACAACUGUGUUUUAAAAAAAACACAGCCGCAGAGCCGAACGGGCUCUUAAUGAAACUAGCGUUCUUGAUUUCUUGGCGGUAGAAAUAACAGGACUAUUAUUAAAUUAAAAUUAAAAUUAAAAAAAAGUCAGCUCAGACUUUUACCAUGUACCAAUAGAGAAAACACGGCGUCUCUCUGUUUUUUUUUUAAGCAUUUUUGCUUUUAAUUUCAUUAUAAUAAUUUAUUUCAAUAAGCUUAUUAUGCUUAUUAUGAAGCUCUCACAGACAAGUCAAGGCCCAGAGUCGUGAAAUUCACUUUGAACCAGCCUGCACGCACUUAAAAUAGUAAUGUUGGGGAGAUGAUUUUUAAAAUUUUGAUCCCUAGAGUUUUUGCAUCUUUUAUUUUUAAUUUUAAUUUUGAUUUAAAAUUUCAUAUUAUUCAUUUUCAUGUUGUUCGUUUUUUGGUUCAAGAUGAAAGAAAGAAAGCAACAAAAAAAACUUUGAAAAAGAUAAAAAAUUAUUGGUCGACAACUUUCCGGCAACAAAAACACGUACAGUAUCUUCGUAUCAAUGGAAAACCGGUGUGCAGAUUGGAUAGCAAAUCAAGCUUCACAGUAGAUGUUGAAGUUUUCUACUGCACUGAAGCUCCCUAUGGUUGUUUGAAGCUAAAGCUUGAUGGCGUUCCUGGGGUUUUGAUGAGUGCACGAUAUUGCAUUCUAAAUGUUCUAUCAUUGGAAUAAAAUGCAAAAAUGUGAAUAAAAAUAAUUGAAAUUAAAGGGUAAGUCAAGGUCCAGAGUCGUGAAAUUCACUUUGAACCAUCCUGGACGCACUUAAAGUAGUAAAGUUUUUUUUUCUUGGAAACAGCCUGAAUGCACUUUUAAGUACUUUAAUCACAACUUUCCACUCACAUGUCGGAUUGCUGUGAUUCUUGACGCGUUGAAAAGGUUUCUUGAAGGGCUACAAAUUAGUCUCUGAUGAGGAUUUCAAAAAAAGAAGAACUAAAGCAUGUACGUCGCUGCCACAGAAGUCCUAAAAUCUAGGUUUUGAUGAAAACGUGUGGACCAUGGAGACGUGAUGAAAAGUGGGGCUGCCUCCUUUAGAAAAAGAAAUCUAGGUUAACUUGAUUAUGUCGUGAACAGGAUAUUAAACCGAAAUAACUCUAUAAAAUAAUAAACAAAAUCAUGAAACUCACCUCAUAUCCUAAUAUUAAAAAAUAUUGAAAAAAUAUAAUUUUUUAAAUGAAAAAAAAACUAAAAGUAAAUCAAACUAAUUUUUGAAACAUGUGACUCGGGUUUCACCUUCUGCUAUCUGCCUAGCAGUGAUAUAAAACGAUUUGAGUCCAUAUUGGAAGGAAUAGCAUCCACGAGGAAGUCCAAAUUAAUUAAAUGCGUAGGCCUCCUCUUUCUUCAAUCUUCUGCUGCUGUGAUUAUUAAAGCCUUGCCAAUAAUUACAGAUCAUAGCAUCCACGAGGAUGACGUUCAUUAAAUUUUUCUCUACAGUCAAUCUUUUUCCUUGACAAGCACAGGCAGGCAAUAUUAGUGGUAAAAUUUGGGAUGUUAAUUCCUUGACAAGCACAGGCAAUAUUGUUGAUUCAACUUUCCAAAAUGUAAUCUUUAGCCACCACAAAGCUUCACACACACACACACACACACACGAGUGUGAAAGUUUAUACACUUCAAAGUAAAGUUAAAGACAAGAGCAUAUAUAAUUGUUAAACCCCGUAUGAUUUGUUUCUGGCUUGUGCUUCUCUGGGAAUGAUUUGGUGGGCUAGUUUAUAGCUCUUUUGCACUAGGGUUUUUGUCCUUUCUACUAAUUUAUCUAAAUACAGGAUUUAUAAUCUUGAUGAAUGAAACUAGCAUUCUCGAUUUCUAGGUGGUAGAAAUAAUAGGACUAUUAUUAAAAUAAAAAUAAAUAAAUAAAUAAAUAAAUAUGCUCAGACUUUUACCAUGUACCAAUAGAGAAAACACCGCGUUUCUCUGUUUUUUUUUAAAAAAUUAUUUUUAUUUUAAAUUUUAUCAUAAUAGUUUAUUUCAAUAAGCUUAUUAUGCUUAUUAUGAAGCUAUUAAGAAAAAACAUUUCAAUGUAGAGUUGAAGCUCUCACAGACAAGUCAAGGCCCAGGAGUCGUGAAAUUCACUUUGAACCAGCCUGGACGCACUUAAAAUAGUAAUUUUUUUCUAUUUUUUUAAUUUGUCUCCGUGGAGACUCGAUACCCCAAAGUCGGGCUACAAUCACCACAAAAAUCUUUGUAUUUUUAACUGACAAAAAGUCACUGAAAAACUCGGAAAAAUAUGGAAAAUUAUUGGUUGAUAAUUUUUGGCAAAAAAAAAAAAAAAACUAUCAUCUUUGUGCUAAUGAAAAACUGGCGUGCAGAUUGGAAAGCAAAUCAUACUUUAUAGAUCGAGGGCUAAAAUAUACAUUUGUAGAAGGGAGUUGGGAAGAAAAUAAAUUUUCAUGGGUAUGGAAAAGUUCGAUGACGAGAUGUUUUGAAAGAGAGGGGUAUGACGUUCAUUGUACAUUGACUGAUGUAUCUUUUUAAAUUUUGUUUUUAGUAUUUUUAGAUUAUUUUAAUAUAAUAAUAUUAAAAAUAAAUUUUACAAAAUAAAAAAAUUACCAAACACACCUGCAAGCGAAUAUUGGUUGACUCAAAACCUUUAAUUUGUCUUUUAAUUUCUUUGUAUCCCAAUUAGUAAUUGCUACGUAAUUAGAUUUGGAGCCUCACUAUCAUUUGCACACUUAAUCUAGCCUUGUCAGAGCUGAUUUAUCUUUACAGUUGUUUUUUAAAAAUAAUUUUUUAAUAUUUUUAGAUUAUUUUGAUGUGUUGAUAAAAAAUAAAUUAUUUUAAAAAAUUAUUUUAAUAUAUUUUUAAAUAAAAAAUAUUUUUUAAAAAAAUUCACAGCAUGCAGAAAUAUGCUAUUCUUUUUAGAAAAUUUCAUGUGUUUACAUUUUCUUGGCAGCUUCUUCGAAACUUCAACAUUGGAGCGCGUCCACGCGUUAAUUAAUUAUUAUUGAGGCGACCUUACUAAUAAAUAAUAGUAUGUAAAUUCUCUUCCACAUCUCAUCCCACAAUAGAAUUCCCUAUUUUCCUUUCCCAUCUCAUGAUCAGUGCGAACUAGAUUUAUGUAUACUGCAAGUACUUUAUUAUUUUUCUAAGCCAUAUAUUCUUCUCUGAUCUGUGAUUUCUCUCUCUGUUUUUUUUUUGGCUGAAUACUGCUCAAGCGAACCAGCACUUGAAUCCAGGUAAAUGAUUUUGUCAAUUUGAGUUAAGCAGCCAUGAUUGUUUUUGUUCACCCGUCAAAAAAAUCAGCUCUUCUACCUUCCUUCCCCUGCUUUCUUCAACAGCUAUCCUCUUCUGCAUCUUUCUAUCUAUCAUUCUAGAGUUUUAGGAUAGAAUUUGAGUAUGAUAAUUUAGCUUUAAAUACAAAGGGUUAAAUCAUUAACAACAACAUUUAUAUUUCCUAUUUUUCAUCCGAAUUUCUUUAACAAACAAGAAAGUCAUAUAUAUGUUCUUUUCUGAUCUGUGCUUUCUGUUCUUUUUAAACCUCUGUACGUACUAAUCAUCUUCUACUUGUGGUCAGAUGGAAGGGUUCCUACCAUCUUCUAUGGAGGAUGAUGUCAACUUUACAUCGAAUCAGUUCGAUCUUCAAUCACUACUGUCGGAGCUUGAGCUUCUCUCGUACGUCAUUUUUAAGCAUAUUUUAUCAGAAGAUGAUUGCUUGCAAUUUAGUUAUUCUUCAGUUUAUCGUUUUAUUCCCAAAAAACAAUAUAAUGUCGUCACUGACUGUGGAAGCAGGCCGCCACCGGAGGUUCCAGUCAACCAAAGCUUCAUGUUAUGCAAUGAUCAUGUUGGACAGAACAUGGUGGUGGAUAACAAUGUGAUCAACGAUAGUAUUCAACAAACAACUGUGUUUCCACCUUCAUUUCCUCAAACCAUGGUGAGUGCUCAUGCCUACUCCAAUUUGCUACAAUGUCCAUUGAAUUGGCAAGUGUUUGUAUUAUACAAAAAGAUUUAUCUAAUUGUUUAUUGUUUAACAAACAGACAACAAUGGGAGGUUUGAAUGGAACAUCAUCAUCAUGGAUCAACCAAAAUGAACCAAAUUGGCCUCAAACUGAACCAAAUCAGCCGGGACAUGACUAUAUGACACCGAACGCAACCACUUCACAACAUGGUGGCUUCAUUCAACCUGAACCUUCUUUUCCUCCUCUCCGGUAUCCAAUUUUUCAUAUUUAGUAUUUUCUGUUAAAAAAAAAUUAGUUUUUCAAUUAGGAAAGCAACAUCAUAGCUUGGACAUGAACCCAGCAAGAUAAUCAUAAGUUUGUAAUGCUUCAUAUUGCUUGCGAAUGAUUUUGGAUUCAGGAGUCCAUUUCUUUCUAAUCAAGGACAAGACGAUCAAGCUGCUGUAAUUCCUAACAUAGACAAUAUGCAACAAGAGAACAUCGUGCCUCGGCACUUUGGCAACUCUACUAGGUACUGAUUGACCUCUAGCUGUUGUGUUUUAACACACUACGUAUUAAUACCCUUUUGAUAAUUAGAUACCACCAAUUAUCGAAAGGUUUUAUAAUAUGAUCACAUCAUUUAUAUAUAGGUCACAGAUGGAUAAUCUCCAAGUCCGAGGAUUGCAAAAUCAAACUGCUAGGCCAAAUGCCUCAAAUCCUGGCCUUGGCACUUCCCUGCAAAGUCAAAAUAGGGGUUUAAAUACUCAACAAGUAAGAAGUAUAACUGAAUUAUUGUCGUCUUUUUUUCCCCUUUGACUGUGCUAUAAACUAACUAUCAAUUUUAAUAGCAAAAUAAGGGUAACUUGAUCCGUUAAUUUUUAUUCCAUAUUUUGACCGAUUUUUAUUCUAUAUUUGACUUUUUUUUUUCUUUUUCUUCUAUAGGUCAAAAUGGUUGGAUCAAAUCUGUUAUUGUUUCAAUAUUUUUUUUUAAAAAAAUUAUUGUCUAGAAAUUUUUUUAAAAGCUAAGCCAUGUUUUACUAGUUUUCUAAGUUGUAUUUGGAUAUUGAUCGAUUUAAAUUGAGUUAAUUUCCAUAUAAUUUAAUUAAAAAUUUAAAUUAAAUAAAAAGUUAGGUUAGAAGAUUUUAAUAUUAACUCCCCUGACCAGGUUUAAUAAUAUUGCCAACAAACUUUCUUCACUCUUAACAUUUUAUUUUUAUAUUUUAAAAAAAUUAAUCCCCUAGAAAAACUAGGACAUAUUAUUGAGUGUAGGUUUUGUUUAUUAAAAGUAAGGAGUCUUUGACUGCAUGUAAUGGCAUCGACUGAAAACCUUUAAUCACAUGCUAUUAAUCACAUAUUUAAUCUGUUAUUGUUAGAGCACAUGCUUUUCAAAAACUUUGAAUUAUUUUCCAUUUAAAUUAUUAUUUUUUUAUUAAAAAUAAAUUUUAAAAAAUAAAAAAAUUAUUAUUUUAAUUAUUUUAAAUAAAAAAUAUUUUAAAAAGCAAAGUAUAUUAUUGUUUCUCAUAUUCAUGUAUUUACAUUUUCUAGGCAUCUUCUAAGCAUCAUAAUUGGGUAGGUAAAGUAGUGUUUUUAACUCCUUUUCUUUUCCAAUUAAUGGGACUGCCAUUCAUUAAUGGGACAUAUUUAAUCUUUCAUGUAUUUACCUCAGUAAUCCACUCAUAUAUAUAUAUAUAUAUAUAUAUAAUUUGCUAUGUGCUUUCUGUUCUUUUUUCACCUCAGUAUGUACUAAUCAUCUUGUACUUGUGGUUAGAUGGAAGGGUUCCCACCAUCUUCUAUGGAUGACUUGACAGAGUUCGAUCUUGAAUUACUAUUUCUCUCGUACGUCAUUCUUAAACAUAUUUUAUCAGAAGAUGAUUGCUUGCAAUUUAGUUACUUCAGUUUAUCCUAUUAUUGACAAAAACUAAUAAUGUCACUGUCCAUGGAAGCAGGCUGCCACCGGAGGUUCCAGACAUCCAAAGCUCCAUAUUAUGCAAUGAUCAAGAUGGACAGAACAAUGUGACCAUGGUGAGUACUAAUUCUUACUCCAAUUUGCUGCAAUGUCCAUUGAAUUAGCAAGUGUUUGUAUUAUACAAAAAGUUUUUAUGUUCUUAUCUCGAGCAUCUUCAAAUUGUUUAUUGUUAAACAAACAGACAACAAUGGGAGAUUUAGACAUUUUUUUAUGAUAUUUUUUUAUCAUUAAGUUUUAUAUAAAAUUGGCCUCAAACUCUAUCAAGGCAUCAUAAUUCCUUUAUUCAUCAACCUCAGACGGGACAUAUGACACAGAACGCACCCACAUCACAACAUGGUGAAUUCAAUCAACCUGGACCUUCUUUGCCCGCUCCCAGGUAUCCAAUUUUUCAUGUUUAGUAUUUUCUGGAAAAAAAAAUUUAGUUUUUCAAUCAUUAUGUAACUUCUUCUUCUUCUUCUUCCUCUUGUCGUUGUACUUAUCAGUGAAUUCAUUAUGUUUGAAUAUAGGUAUCAGCCUAAUCCUAAUUUAUUUGAUCCUCAAUGUGUCAAUCCCAUGCUGCCUGGACCAUCAAUGCCUUUGUGGUAAGCUAAAAUGAUAUCAAAUGCUUAGUGGAUUAAUAGCGAAGAAUUAUGCAUGUGUAUAAAGAAAUUACUAACAAAUGUUGCUAAUUUAGGGACCAACAAUUGACUAAUUAUCAGUUACCAAUGAGCAAUCGAGUGCCUACCUUAAACUUUUUUAAUCAAUGGUAUUAACCUCGAAUAUAUAUACACUUUUUUAUGUUUAGUAUUUUCUAUAAAAAAAAAAUUAGUUUUUCAAUCAGGAAAGAAACAUCAUAUCUUGAACAUGAACCCAACAAGCUAAACAUAUUGUUUGCAAAUGAUUUUGGAUUCAGGAGUCAAUAUUUUUCUAAUCAAGGACAAGUCGAUCAAGCUGCUGUAAUUCCUAACAUAGACAAUGUGCAACAAGAGAACUUCGUGCCUAGGUACUGAUUGACUUCUAGCUGUUGUGUUUUAACACCAUUAACUUUUACUGCUUAAGAGAGACUACCAAUUAUGGAAAGGUUUUAUAAUAUGAUCACUUCAUUUAUAUAUAGGUCACAGAUGGAUAACCUCCAAGUCCGAGGAUUGCAAAAUCAAACUGCUAGGCCAAAUGCCUCAAAUCCUGGCCUUGGCACUUCCCUGCAAAGUCAAAACUAGGGGUUUAAAUACUCAACAAGUAAGAAGUAUAACUGAAUUAUCGUCGUCUUUUUCCCUCCUAUGAUUGUGCAAUAAACUAACUAUCAAUUUUAAUAGCAAAAUAUGGGUAACAACACUGAAGUAGUAGUUUCUCAUCCAUCUGGAUAUGGUGUAACUUGCAUCAAUUUUUAUUCUUUAUUUUGACCUACCUUUUUUUUUAUAUAGGUCGAAAUGGUUAGAUCAAAGGAUCCAUUUUGGAAUUAUAUUGAAGAUAGGACUGAUGGUAGCAUGAAGUGUAAGUUUUGUCCACAUACAUUUGCCAAUAAAACCUCCAUUUCAAGGAUCAAAUGGCAUUUAUCAGGAGAGGAAGGGCAUAAUGUUGCCAUUUGUCAUGGGGUGCCUAAAGAAGUUCAAGAAGCAGCCUGGAAAGCUAUGUGUGGUGGCAACAAAAGACAUAAAAUCACAGCAGGUUCGAUCAAUGUUAAUGAUUGUGGAAUUUCAACAAUGGUAGGAGGAAUUGGAAGGGUACAAAGAGAAGUUCAGGUUGUAGAACCCGGAGUAGUGGAAGAGAGGAUUUCUUCACAUGCAAUAGCAGGAAACGACGUAGUAAGCAUGACCGGAAUGAGAGCACAAGAAGAUGGAGUUUCCGAAGGGGCACUCGAGAGCAGACUGAGGACAGAACCAGUGGAUCGAUCGUUGGAACAAAGCAAUGCAGUACUUGGCAAUAUGGCAGGGGGAGCUAGAAGGAUACAAGUGGGAGUUCAGGGCAUGGAACAAGAUCCAGGAGAAGAGAGAAUUCAGUCGCAUCUACAAGCGGAAAAUGGCAUGGAAAACACUGGUGAAGGAUCUUUUCAGCAUGAUGCAUUUGAGACUGUACCAAGAACAGAGAAAGUGCAGACUCUGGAGCCUCGAUGAGAUUCAUCCCAAUUUUGUCAUGGCAUUGGAAGAUGUUAUGAUCAACCUUGUGCUCCAUCAGGAAACAAUGAUGUAACUAGUCAUGAUGAGCAGCAUAUGGUUAGAGUGAGGACACAACCAGUGCAGAAAGAGGAGGAUGUGGAAAAUAGUGGAAGAUCAGUAGUGCAGGCUGGCGCAGGAGCUAGAUCUUCUGAAAGUCUGAAGUACAACAAGACUAGAGGAGUUCCAUUACCUACUAGCUCUACAAAGCCAGUGGGUCAAGCAUUUGAAGAGAAUACGAAGGUGAUAUGGUCUUUGUUAAUGGAUGAUGAAGUCUCAACCAUUGGUAUUUAUGGGAUGGGGGAGUUGGUAAAACAACAAUACUAAAACAUAUCCAUAAUGAGCUUCUACAAAGACUAGAUAUUUAUGAUCAUGUUUGGUGGGUGACUGUGUCUCAAGAUUUCAACAUUAAUAGAUUGCAGAAUCUUAUUGCUACACAACUUCAUCUAAACCUUUCGAGAGAAGAUGAUGAUCUGCAUAGAGCUGCCAAAUUGUUAGAAGAACUAAAGAAAAAACAAAAAUGGAUUUUUAUUUUAGAUGAUUUGUGGAACAAUUUUGAGCUUGAGGAAGUGGGAAUUCCUGAGAAGUUGAAAGGAUGCAAGUUGAUUAUGACAACUCGAUCAGAAAUGGUUUGUCAUCGGAUGGCUUGCCACCGCAAAAUCAAGGUGAAACCACUUUCUGAGGGAGAAGCUUGGACUUUGUUCAUGGAAAAACUUGGACGUGACAUAGCACUUUCACGAGAAGUGGAAGGAAUUGCGAAAGCUAUUGCAAGGGAAUGUGCUGGUUUGCCAUUGGGAAUUAUUACAGUGGCAAGAAGCUUGAGGGGAGUGGAUGACCUGCAUGAGUGGAGAAAUACAUUGAAGAAAUUGAGAGAAUCAGAAUUUAAGGACAAGGAAGUAUUCAAGUUAUUGAGGUUUAGUUAUGAUCGGUUAGGUGAUUUAGCACUACAACAAUGUCUCUUGUACUGUGCAUUAUUUCCCGAAGAUGAUAGGAUUAAGAGGGAGAGGUUGAUAGGUUAUUUGAUCGAUGAGGAGCAUGAAAGAUGCAUUUGACGAGGGCCACACGAUGCUUAAUAAACUUGAAAAUGUCUGCCUAUUGGAAAGUGCUCAAAUGAUGUCUACAGGUAGUAGAUAUGUCAAGAUGCAUGACUUGAUUAGAGACAUGGCCAUCCAUAUACUGGUAGAGAGCCCUCAAUACAUGGUUAAAGCAGGUGCACAAUUAAAAGAGUUGCCAGAUGCAGAGGAGUGGACGGAGAACCUGACGAUAGUUUCACUAAUGCAAAACAGAUUUGAAGGAAUUCCUUCCAGCCAUUCACCAAAAUGUCCAAAUCUGUCAACUGUAUUUCUAUGUGAUAAUGAAGGGUUGGGAUUUAUUGAGGAUUCAUUUUUCAAGCAAUUGCAUGGGCUCAAGGUCCUCGAUCUGUCCUGGACAGUUAUUAAAAAUUUGCCAGACUCUGUCUCUGAUUUGGUGAGUCUCACUGCGUUAUUGCUCAAUGAGUGUGACAAUUUAAAACAUGUUCCAUCAUUAAAGAAGCUCAGGGCACUGAAGAGGUUGGAUCUCUCUAGACUCUAGUACUGCACUUGAAAAUAUGCCGCAAGGAAUGGAAUGCCUAACCAACCUGAGGUAUCUUAGAAUGAAUGGAUGCGGUGAAAAGGAGUUUCCUAGCGGGAUAUUACCAAAACUCUCUCACCUGCAAGUCUUGGUACUAGAAGAGUUUCCUAGUGGGAUAACAGUUAAAGGAAAGGAAGUAGGAUCCUUGAGAAAUUUGGAAACUUUGGAGUGCCAUUUCGAAGGUUUAUCUGACUUUGUGGAGUAUCUCAGAUCUCGGGAUGGGAUUCAAUCAUUAAGCACAUAUAAAAUUUUAGUAGGAAUGGUGGAUUACUUGUAUUGGGAAAACAUUAAUGAUUUUCCAAGUAAAACAGUUGGGUUGUGUAAUUUGAGUAUCAACAGAGAUGGAGAUUUUCAGGUCAAGUUCUUAAAUGGUAUUCAAAGACUGAUUUGUGAACGCAUCGAUGCAAGAAGUUUAUGUGAUGUUUUGUCAUUAGAGAAUGCAACUGAACUGGAGGACAUCAACAUUCGGGAUUGCAAUAACAUGGAGAGCUUGGUUUCAUCUUCUUGGUUCUGCUAUGCUCCACCACCAUUGCCAUCAUAUAAUGGUAUGUUUUCUGGGCUUAAAGAGUUUUAUUGUGGUGGAUGUAAAAGUAUGAAGAAGCUGUUCCCACUUGUGCUGCUGCCAAACCUCGUAAACCUGGAAAGGAUUGAAGUGAGGUGCUGUGAGAAAAUGGAGGAGAUAAUAGGAACAACAGAUGAAGAAAGCCGCACCUCCAAUCCCAUCACGGAAUUCAUUCUCCCAAAGUUAAAAACUCUGAAAUUGUCUGUUUUACCAGAACUGAAAAGCAUUUGCAGUGCAAAACUGAUUUGCAAUUCUCUUAAAAAAAUUAGGGUAAGUUUUUGUAAGAAGCUGAAGAGGAUGCCAAUUUGUCUUCCGUUGCUUGAAAAUGGCCAGCCAUCUCCUCCCCCUUCUCUUAAAAAAAUCGAAGCAAGUCCAAAAGAAUGGUGGGAGACAGUAGUGGAGUGGGAGCAUCCUAAUGCAAAGGAUGUCCUUCGUCCCUUUGUAAAGUUUGGGUACUGGUAAUCCUUCCGUUGUAAGAAUACUAAUCGAUUGUAACCUUAAAUUUGCUCAUAUUCAAUAACAUUCAAUUCUUUCAAUCAUUUUUGUUAAAAAUCACGUGCAAAACAUAAUAUAUGUUUUUUCGAUAUGAAUGAUGAAAAUAGUCCUUUAAAACAACAAGGAUAUUCUUAUUAAUUAUAAUUUGAAGUUUGAUUAAUAUUAUAUUUUCAUCCUAUUGAGGUUCUCCAAGAUGAAAAUCCAAAAAAUAAAAAAAUACUAAAUUGAUUUAUCAUUAAAGUAACCUAAUAAAAUAAUAGAUGUUUUGAAAGAAAGGGGUAUGGCGUUCAUUGUACUCUAAACUCAUUGACUGAUGUACCUCUUAAAAAUUGUAUAUGUUACCAGAACUGAAAAGCAUUUGCAGUGUAAAACUGAUUUGCAAUUCUCUUGAAUAUAUUUGUGUAAUCGAUUGUGAUGAGCUGAAGAGGAUGCCAAUUUGUCUGCCGUUGAAUGAAAAUGGCCAGCCAUCUCCUUCCCCUUCUCUUAAAAAUAUCUAUUCAAGUCCAAAAGAAUGGUGGGAGUCAGUAGUGGAGUGGGAGCAUCCUAAUGCAAAGAAUGUCCUUCGUUCUUUUGUAAAGUAAUAUAAUACAGUGUGCUUACAAUUACAUAAAUAACAUUUUUCAUUUUUUUUUAUUUCAUUAAAGACUACUGAAUUGUCAUAUAUAUAUUUUAACUCGAUAGAUAAAUAAUUAUAAUUUGAAGUUUGAUUAAUAUUAUAUUUUCAUCCUAUUGAGUUUCUCCAAGAUGAAAAUCCAAAAAACAAUAAUAAAAAAAAUACUAUAUUGAUUUAUCAUUAAAGUAACCUAAUAAAAUAAUAAAUCUACACACAUUUUUAAAAUGUCUAAGAGAGAGUAUGAAUAUGGCAGUUUUGGUUUCUCAACCUGUAACUGCCAUAUUCAUAAACACAUUUUUUAAAUAACUGAAAUUCUAAGACCAAAUUUCGUACUAAAACUAGAAAGUAGCAUAGGUUAAUAAUUAUUAUCUUUUUUAUUUUUAAUUAUAAUCUAAAAUUUGUAGUGUGUGGUCCCGCACCAUGUGAUGGGGGGACCACCACAUUAAUCAAGAAGAGAGGCAGUUGGCUGCCUCUUUAAUUUAAAUGUGUCUGCCACUGUAGAAGGUAGACGAGAGAGAGAGGGAGAACAAAAUUAAAAGAGAGCAAAAACAGAAGAGAAAAACGUGAGAAAGAAAGAAGAGGAGGCAGCAGAGCAGUCUGUCUUCUUUCUUCGAUUUCCAGUUCGUUCACCGUUGGAUCGAGCUGAGAUUUGGACAGAAUCUUCUAGACAUGUUACUCUUCAUUUUGAACGGUUGGAUUGAAGAUUGGUGGUGUGGAAGCUGGUUGUUUUGACAGAAAACGGGGCUGUCAGUGUUGUGAGCUUUUCUCUAACAUUGCUCUCUUUAAUCUUGUUGUAAUCCCAGAAUAUGUUGUUCUUGAUGAUAUAUAUGUUGUAGCCCUUAGUUAAUCUGAGGAAGAACUAUUGUGAACCCAUUAUUUGUGAUAGUGGAAGUUUUUAGGUGGACUCCGAUCCCGUGGUUUUUCCCGCAUCGGGUUUUCCACGUAAAAAUCUUGGUGUUGAUGUGUGUGAUUGUUGCAUUAUAUUUGUUCAUUGUUUGAUUCUGUUUUUUACUGCACAAAGAGGGAAAAAGGAUUGGGACUUGUUAAUUGUGAAUUGUAUUCCGCUGAAUUGAUCCGGUUAUUUGUCCCUAGUUUUCCCAACAGAGUGGUAUCAGAGCAUUUGGUUGUGUAGAUUGAAUUCUUAUGCAGUUAAAAUGGAAAAGGAAGAUUCGGGUAUGAAAAAGCUCACUUCCUCAAAUUAUUUUCUAUGGAAAACAAUGAUGGAGGAUCACUUAUAUUGCAAUGAUUUGGCUUUGCCAAUUGAAUGUAAAGGAAUAAAGCCUGAUGAUAUGGAUGAUGCAAAAUGGAAUGGACUUAAUAGAAAGGCUACCGCUAAUGUUAGAAAAUUGGUAUCUUCUAAGUCCAUUAAUCAUAUUUCUCAAGAACAUGACUGCUAUACAGUGUGGAAGAUGUUGGAAGAAACAUUUGCCAAGGAGAGUGCACAAAACAAGGUUUUUGUAAUUAAAGACCUUGUGAAUUUGAAGUAUAGAGAUAGUGAAGAUGCUUCAGUGCAUAUAAAUGUAUUCCAAGGGUUCUUGAAUCAGCUGUCAUUGAUGAACCUUGAGUUAGCCGAUGAAAUGCAAGCAUUAAUCCUAUUGAGUUCAUUGCCGGAUAGUUGGGAGACUUUGGUAGUGUCACUUAGCAAUUCUACUCCGAAUGGAAAGCUCACUUUGAAAACAGUGAAGGAUUGUAUCCUCAAUGAAGAGAAGAGGAGGAAAGGGACAAGCACUUCCGAGUCUCAUGCACUUGUUACAGAAAGUCGAGGGAGAAGUCAAAGCAGGUUCUCUCACGGCAAGCAAGAUGGAGAAUCUAGCAAUAGAAAAGGCAAAUGAAAGCCAAGAGGAAGAUCUCAGUCAAGGAAGGGUUUUAAGUGUUAUUAUUAUGACAAGCCUGGGCAUGUGCAAAAGGAUUGCAGAAAGUAUAAAAGAGAUAAAAAGGGUAGAGAUGAAGACAAGAAUGAAGAGAAUGGUACAGCUGCAGUUGUAUCUGAUGGUGAUGUUGCCAUUGUGUGUGAUGAUGGUUGUGUUAAUCUUGCAUGUCAAGAUACCACCUGGGUUGCAGAUUCAGCAGCUUCUUACCAUAUUACACCCCGACAUGAUUUUUACACAUCCUACACUGCUGGUGACUUUGGUCAAGUUAGGAUGGGAAAUCAAGGGAUGGCUAGUGUUGUGGGCAUUGGAGAUAUUUGGUUGGAAACCAAUACUGGGUGCAAGUUGCUACUCAAAGAUGUUAGGCAUGUGCCUGAUAUGCGCCUACAUUUGAUCUCUACUGGUACUCUUGAUGAAGAAGGCUAUCAUAGUUACUUUGGAGAUGGUAAAUGGAAGCUCUCCAGAAAUUCCCUAAUUGUUGCUAAAGGGAAGAAGAUGGGUCUUUACAUGUCACAAGCCAAGGUGAUCAAAGGGGAGGUGAAUGCAAUUGAAGAUUGCUCUACUGAUCUAUGACAUAAGCGAUUUGGACAUUUGAGUGAGAAAGGUCUUGGCAUCCUUGCCAGGAAGAACUACCUUCCUUUAAAAGGUAUGAACCUGAACACAUGUACUCAUUGUUUAGUUGGUAAACAACAUAGAGUUGCAUUUCAAAGAUCACCUUCACAUAGAAGGUCACAUGUUCUUGAUUUAGUUCAUACUGAUGUUUGCUCUAUGAUUGAUAAGUCUCUUAGAGGUGCAUUGUACUUUGUUAAUUUUAUUGAUGAUCACUCCAGGAAGAUUUGGGCCAUUUAUUUGAAAUCCAAAGAUCAAGUGCUUGAUGUCUUUAAGGAUUUCCAUGCCAGAGUUGAAAGAGAAACUGGUAGAAAGCUGAAAUGUGUUCGAGCAGACAAUGGUGGUGAAUACAGGGGUCCUUUUGAAAAGUACUGCAGGGAACAUGGUAUCAAGUUGGAGAAGACAGUUCCUAAGACUCCACGGCAGAAUGGAGUUGGUGAGAGAAUGAACAGAACCAUUGUUGAAAGAAUUAGAUGUAUGCUCUCUCAUGCAAAGUUGCCUAAGUCCUUUUAGGGUGAGGCAAUGAAGACUGCAGUUGCCAUGAUCAAUCUUUCUCCAUCAGUUCCUCUUGAGUUUGAUGUUCCAGAUAGAGUGUGGAAAGGAAAGGAUGUUUCCUAUGCACACUUGAGAGUGUUUGGAUGCAGAGCAUUUGUACAUGUUCCAAGGGAUGAAAGGUCCAAGCUUGACAGCAAGACAAAGCAGUGUAUUUUCUUGGGAUCUGAAGAUGAUGAGUUUGGCUAUAGGUUGUGGGAUCCAAAGGAGAAGAAAAUUGUGAGAAGCAGAGAUGUUAUCUUCUUUGAAGAUCAAACCAUUGAAGACUUUGAACUGAAGGAGAAAACAGAGUCUACAACUUUUAUUCCAUCUAAUUCAAAUCCAAGAUCUACUCCACAGUUACCUUUGAUGCCUGCUAAUCAUGGGGGAGAUUUGCAAAAUGAUGAUAAUGGUGGUUUUCUUAUUGAGCCAUUAGUUGGUGAUCAUGAAUCAACUAAUGAUGAUAUUGAUGUUAUUCCUGAACAGGUUAUGCAGGAAGCUCUAGAUGAGCCACAAUUGAGGAGGUCAACCAGACCUCGCCAACCUUCCACCAAAUAUUCUCCUCAUGAGUAUGUGCUAGUUACUGAUGGGGGAGAGCCAGAAUGCUUUGAUGAAGCCAUGUCACAUGAGAAGAAAAGUGAGUGGUUGCAAGCAAUGCAAGAAGAGAUGAAAUCCUUGCAUGAAAACCAUACCUUUGAGUUAGUGAAGCUUCCUAAAGGUAAGAGAGCACUCAAGAACAAAUGGGUGUUCAGGUUGAAAAUUGAUGAACAUUGCUCACAACCAAGUACAAGGCAAGAUUGGUUGUGAAAGGUUUCGGUCAGAAGAAGGGUAUUGAUUUUGAAAAAAUCUUUUCACCAGUGGUCAAGAUGUCUUCAAUCCGAGUUGUGUUUGGCUUAGCUGCUAGUUUGAAUCUUGAAGUUGAGCAACUUGAUUGAAAACUGCCUUUCUCCAUGGUGAUUUAGAUGAGGAAAUCUACAUGGAGCAACCUGAAGGGUUUGAAGCAAAAGGUAAAGAGCAGUUAGUUUGCAAGUUGAAAAAGAGCCUAUAUGGGUUAAAGCAAGCUCCAAGACAAUGGUAUAAGAAGUUUGAUUCUUUCAUGGUGGAUCAUGGUUAUGACAGGACUACUUCUGAUCAUUGUGUAUUUAUGAAAAGGUUUCCAGAUGGAAACUUUAUUAUUCUCCUAUUGUAUGUGGAUGAUAUGUUGAUUGUUGGCCAUAAUGCUAAGAAGAUUCAGAUGUUGAAGGAAGAGUUAAGCAAGUCUUUUGCAAUGAAAGACUUAGGACCGGCAAAACAGAUUCUUGGCAUGAAGAUCACACGUGACAGGAAGAAGGAGAAACUUUGGCUAUCUCAGGAGAGAUAUGUCCAAAAGGUACUUGAGAGAUUCAACAUGAGCAACUCCAAACCGGUUUGUUCUCCAUUUGCAAGCCACUUUAAACUAAGUUCUAAGCAGUGUCCUUCAAGUGAUGAAGAAAGAGAUGAGAUGAAAAAGGUUCCUUAUGCAUCCGCAGUUGGUAGCUUGAUGUAUGCUAUGGUUUGCACAAGGCCGAAUAUAGCUCAUGCAGUUGGUGUGGUUAGUCGGUUCCUCUCCAAUCCUGGUAAAGAACACUGGUCAGCAGUGAAAUGGAUACUCAGGUAUCUCAAAGGUACUUCUAGUUUCAGCUUAUGUUUUGGUAAUGAUAAACCUGUGUUGGAUGGAUACACAGAUGCAGAUAUGGUUGGUGAUGUUGAUUCUAGAAAGUCCACAUCAGGAUACUUGAUGAAGUUUGCAGGGGGAGCUGUCUCAUGGCAAUCAAGGUUGCAAAAAUGUGUUGCAUUAUCCACUACAGAGGCUGAAUAUAUUGCUCUUACUGAAGGGGGCAAAGAGUUGUUAUGGAUGAAGAAGUUCCUACAUGAACUUGGCCUAGUUCAAGAGAACUUUGUGUUGCACUGUGAUAGUCAAAGUGCAAUCCAUCUCAGUAAGCAUCCUACUUUUCACUCUCGAUCAAAGCACAUAGAGGUUAGAUAUCAAUGGAUUCGUGAUGCUAUGGAGAUGAAGUCAUUUGUUGUUGAGAAGAUCCAUACCGAUAACAACGUGUCAGAUAUGAUGACCAAACCUCUACCAAGAGAGAAGUUUGAGUUUUGCAGAAGGGAGGCAGGCUUGUCAGAGCCUCCUAAAUUGAAGCUUACAUGUUGAUCGCCAGUAUGGCGAAUUCCUCACAUGGUGCGUGAGGGGGAGAUUUGUUGUGUGUGGUCCCGCACCAUGUGAUGGGGGGACCACCACAUUAAUCAAGAAGAGAGGCAGCUGGCUGCCUCUUUAAUUUAAAUGUGUCUGCCACUGUAGAAGGUAGACGAGAGAGAGAGGGAGAACAGAAUUAAAAGAGAGCAAAAACAGAAGAGAAAAACGUGAGAAAGAAAGAAGAGGAGGCAGCAGAGCAGUCUGUCUUCUUUCUUCGAUUUCCAGUUCGUUCACCGUUGGAUCGGGCUAAGAUUUGGACAGAAGCUUCUAGACACGUUAAUCUUCAUUUUGAACGGUUGGAUUGAAGAUUGGUGGUGUGGAAGCUGGUCGUUUUGACAGAAAACGGGGCUGUCAGUGUUGUGAGCUUUUCUCUAACAUUACUCUCUUUAAUCUUGUUGUAAUCCGAGAAUAAGUUGUUCUUGAUGAUAUAUAUGUUGUAGCCCUUAGUUGAAUAUGAGGAAUAACUAUUGCGAACCCAUUAUUUGUGAUAGUGGAAGUUUUUAGGUGGACUCCGGUCCCGUGGUUUUUCCCGCAUCGGGUUUUCCACGUAAAAAUCUUGGUGUUGAUGUGUGUGAUUGUUGCAUUAUAUUUGUUCAUUGUUUGAUUCUGUUUUUUACUGCACAAAGAGGGAAAAAUGAUUGGGACUUGUGAAUUGUGAAUUGUAUUUCGCUGAAUUGAUCCGGUUAUUUGUCCCUAGUUUUCCCAACAAAAUUUUAUUAUGUUUACCUUUUGGUCACGAGUUUAAGAUGAAAGCACACAAAAAAGGAACUGCUAAAGCCUAAAUUUUAGGCAAUUUGUUUUUGACACAACAGGGAUCAUGGAGACGUGAUGAAAUAUAAUUUUAAAAUUUAAAAUAUUUUUAAUUAGUUAAGAUUAAAUAAGUUUUUAAAUUAAAACAAUUUAAUUUCAAUAAAAUAUCAAAAUAUUAUGAAAUUAAAAUGUUUUAACACUAAUAUUUUAAAUAUAAAGUUAGGUCAAUGUUAUCAAGGCUAAUGAGAUCUAAAAUAUUCAUUUUUUUUGCUUAAAUUCCUACAAAGUAUAAACUUGAAAAAAACAACAUGAAUAUAAACCAUAUAUAUUAGUGAUAAAUCUAAUUUUAAAAAAUUAAUAUCAUAGUUAAUGAAAAUAGUAAUGAAAAAGAGCUUUUUAUACUUUGAUGUUUUAAUUAUUAAUUGAACCAGGUUCAAUUUGAUUUAAUGGCUUUUUAAGACCAGAACAGAACAUGUGGAAUGAAACCGGAACAUUCCAAACGGAAUUUAGCCAAAAAAUCCGGAAAGGACCGAAAUUUGAAAUGAGAUGAAAAUUAUUUCGUUUUAUUCUAUUUUUUGAAUUAGUAUAAAAUCAUUACAAAUAAAACGAAACGAAAUUAACAACUUUUAUUUUAAUAUAUUUAUAAAUCCCCUAAAAAACUUUCUUCACUCUUGACAUUUUAUUUUUAUAUUUUAAAAAAAUUAAUCCCCUAAAAAAACUAGGACAUAUUAUUGAGUGAGGUUUUGUUUAUUAAAAGCAAGGAUGGAGUCUUUGACUGCAUGUAACGGCAUCGGCUGAAAACCUUUAAUUUGUCUUCUAAUUUUUUCUCUAUUGUUACAUAAUCAGAUUCGCUUCAUCUUAAAUAAUUAUUUUUUUAAUUUUAGAUUAAAUUUAAAAUUGUGAUAUAUAAUAUUUUUUAAAAAAGUAUUUUUUAUUUAAAAAUAUAUUAAAAUAAUAUUUUUUAAGAUUUUUUUUAUUUUUAAUAUCAACACAUCAAAAUCAUAGAAAAAUAAAAAAAAAUUCAUUUAUCUUUUUUAAAAAACAACUAAAAACAAAAACAAUCACAUGCUAUUAAUCACAUAUUUAAUCUGUUGUUGUUAGAGCACAUGCUUUUCAAAAACUUUGAAUUAUUUUCCUUUUAAAUUAUUAUUAUUUUUAUUAAAAAUAAAUUUUAAAAAAUAAAAAAAUUAUUAUUUUAAUUAUUUUAAAUAAAAAAUAUUUUAAAAAGCAAGUAUAUUAUUGUUUCUCGUAUUCAUGUGUUUACAUUUUCUAGGCAUCUUCACGCGUUAACUUCCUAUAUCUUAUAAUAUAAUAUUUGGCAGGUUAAGUAGUGGGUUGCUUGCUAGCAACUUCCUUCCUAUCAAACAAAACAAUAAUUUGUUUAUACUGCUACUUUAUUAUUUUUCUAAAUCAUAUAAUCUUCUCUGAUCUGUGAUUUCUCUUCUCUUUAAAUCCUCAGGACGUACUCAUCAUCUUCUACCUCUUUUCCUUUCCACAUCUAACCAGUGCGAACUAGAUUAUAUUUAUGUGAUUUCUCUUCUGUUUUUUUUUUUUUGGCUGAAUACUGCUCAAUCAAACCAGCGCUCGAAGAACAUCUUGAAUCCAGGUUAAUUAUUUGUACUUCAUCUUCUUCAUCUUGUUGGUGUUUUUGUUUGUAUAUAUGUAACUAUGGUUUGAAUCUUUAAAGGAAUCCAUGAUAAAUAAAUUGAUCUUUUUCUCGGAUUUUAUAAUCCAUGCCUAGUGGAGAGUUCAUACUAAAUUAAUACUGAAUUCAUUGUUUUCGUCUUUUCAAAAUUCUUAGCCGUUUUUAACUCCUUAUUUUAGAUUCACCCUUUUCUUUUCCAAUUAAUGGGACUGCCAUUCAUCAAUAUUUUUCAACUUUCUAUUUUCUUACAAUGAUUCAAUGAAUUAACUUGAUCAAUAAUUACCUGAAUCUUUUUGAACAAAACAAUAUCCUAUUAUUAUUUUUGUGUGUGUUUUAUGAUGCGUAACUAAGGGUUAAAAUAAUCUUGCAAUAUAAAUAGGAGUUGAAAGAGGUUUGUUCACCCCGUCAAAACAAUCAGCUCUUCUACCUUCAACAGUUAUCCUGCAUCUUUCUAUCUAUCAUAAAAAGAAUUUGAUUAUGAUAAUUUAUCUUAAAAGACAAAGGAUUAAAUCAUUAACAACAACAUUUAUAUUUCAUAUUUUUCAUCCGAAUUUCUUUAACAAACAAGAAAGUCAUUCAUAUAUAUAUAUAUAUAUAUAUAUAUAUAUAGAUAGAUAGAUAGAUAGAUAGAUAUUCUUUUCUGAUCUGUGCUUUAUGUUCUUUUUAGACCUCAGUUUUUUAUGUCUUUUCUGAUCUUUUCUGGUCAGAUGGAAGGGUUCCAACCAUCUUUUAUGGAGGAGGUUGACAACAUGACAUGGGAUCAGCUGGGUUUUCAAUCAGAAGAAGAUACAUUCAAUAUGUCUGAGCUUCUCUCGUACGUCAUUCUUGAGCAUAUUUUAUCAGAAGAUGAUUGCUUGCAAUUUAGUUAUUCUUCAGUUUAUCCUAUCAUUCCCAAAAAAACAAUAUAAUGUCGUCACUGUCCAUGGAAGCAGGCUGCCACCGGAGGUUCCAGUCAACCAAAGCUCCAUAUCAUGCAAUGAUCAAGGUGGACAGAAGAAUGUGAUCAACGAUAGUAUUCAACAAACAACUCCGUUUCCAACUUCAUUUCCUGAAACAGUGGUGAGUACUCCAAUUUGCUACAAUGCCCAUUGAAUUAGCAAGUGUUUGUAUUAUACAAAAAGUGUUUGCAUUUUUGUUUUUAAUUUCAUUUGAUAAUUUAUUUCAAUAAACUUGUUAUGGAGCUCUUGUGGUCUAAGAAGAAGAAACAAUUCAAUGUAGAGUUGAUGUUUGACUUAACAAGAUUUUGUUCAAUUUAAUUGAUUAAAAAUAAGUGAAAUUUUGACCGUCAAAUUUGAUAUUAAAAUUUUGAAGAUAAAUAUUGAAGACUGAAUUUGAUAUUAAAACUAAAAAUAAGUAGAAAGUUUUUACAAAGGUAAAUGUUAUGAAAAGAUCGAAAUUGCUAUCCAACUGGUGUGCAGAUUGGAUAGCAAAUCAAGCUAUGUUGAAGUUUUCUACUGCAGUGAAGCUCCCUCUGGUUGCUUGAAGCUAAUGCCUGAUUGUUGCGUUCCUGGGAUUUUGAUAAGUGUAUGAAAGUCUAUUUUAUCAUUAAUUUGUUUUUAUGUUUUAAAAAUAUUUUAAAAAAAUUAAUUUUUUAUUUUAAAUUUAUUCUAACUCUUUUGUUUUAUCAUUCUCAAAGUCCAAACAACAACGGUACUGUCAAGAUUGUUAUGUUUAUGCCCGCAAUCGAAACAUAAUUUGUUUUUGUACUCAGAGUUAUGCUUAUUAAAAAAUCUGGUUAUUUUAAAAAAUAUAUUAAAUUAAUAUUUUUUAAUAUAUUAAUAUUAAAAAUAAAAGAAAAAUAUUUUGAUUACUCAGAAUAAAUAGGAAGCUUUAUAAUAGUUAAGAAACGUAUUCCAAAGUUUAGUUUACUGGUUGACUCACAUAUUAACUGAAUAACCUGAGUAAAAAAGAAAACCACAUCAUAUUAUGAUGGUGUUUAUUAAAAAAAACUAAAAUAACAAUUUUUUUUUAAUAUUAUCUUCUUAAAUAUUUUUAUUUUAAAAAUUUUUCACAUAGUUGUAGAUAAAAAAAAAAUGUUUUAAUUUAGCAACGAUAGAGCAUCCACAAGAAAGAUAUUAUACGGUUAUUAAUUUUCAUUAAAAGAAAAGCUAAGAGACCUGGGAGAACUACUAUAUAUCCACACCUAUUUCAUAAAUUACAAUAGUACGUAAUUCAAGGUGUUUUGCCUUUUUUGUUUUGUUUUUUAAAAUUUGUUUUUGUUUAUUUUAUAAUAGGCUGGUUAUAAUUCAGCUUUAAUUUAUUAAUUUUUAUUCUAUUUUUUUUAUAAGAUUAACGUAAUUUAUAGAUUUGUUAAAAUAACUCAAAUUAUACUAGUUUUCAGAUUUGAUGGGAUAUUUUUUUGUUUAUUAAUUAAAAGAAAAACUAAAAGGUGUAAGAGAAUCACUAUUUACCCACACUCAUUUCAUUAUGGAUUACAAUAGUAAUCUAUAGUGUUUUGUCUUUUCUGUUUUUUUCCUUUUCUUUCCUUUUUUUUUAUCAUUUUUAAAAAUAAUUCUUUUGUCUAUUUCAUAUUUGGGCCGAAUUAGCAUAUAUAUAUAUAUAUAUAUAUAUAUUGGAUUGGUGUUUAAUUUUACAAGUAUAAGUAUCUAUUUUUGUUAUCAUAUUAUUAAAUAAAAAUAAUUUUUUAAAAAAGUAUAAUCCUAGUUAAGUCCAUAACCUUGUUCAUGAGUUUGAUGUGCUAGCCCAAGUUACCUGAUUCACGAGUUUGACAGGUUUAUCAAUUGAUCGAAUAUGGUUUUUUUUUGUUUCUGGUCUUUUAAUUUUUUUAAUUGAUUUUUUUUCAAUUUUGUCCUUCAAUAUUAGAUUGGUUUGGAAAUAGACUAAAUGAUUUAUUUUUGUUUGCUUUCUAUAGGGUUAUCAAAAUCUUAAAUAAAUAUUUAUUUUAGGGAUGAAACUCAAUUUUAUGAGUAUUUAUUUUUAUCAUAUAAUUAAAUUAAAAAAAAGUUUAAAAAAAUUAUUAAACCCAAUAGAAUCGAUGAUCCAGGUCGCGAGGGACCGGGAUCGAUCAAAUUUGUCAUUGUUUCAAUAUUUUUUUUUAAAAAAAAAUUGUUGUCUAGAAGUUUUUUGUCAUAGAAUCGAUGACCGAGAGCAAAAAUUGUUUUCGUUUUGCUCUUCCCCUGCUUUCUUCAACAGUUAUCCUGCGUCUUUCUAUCUAUCAUUCUAGAGUUUUAGGAUCUCGUGUCAUAUAAAGAAUUUGAGUAUGAUAAUUUAGCUACAAAGACAAAGGAUUAAAUCAUUAACAACAACAUUUAUAUUUCAUAUUUUUCAUCCGAAUUUCUUUAACAAACAAGAAAGUCAUUCAUAUAUAUAUAUAUAUAUAGAUAGAUAGAUAGAUAGAUAGAUAUUCUUUUCUGAUCUGUGCUUUAUGUUCUUUUUAGACCUCAGUUUUUUUAUGUCUUUUCUGAUCUUUUCUGGUCAGAUGGAAGGGUUCCAACCAUCUUUUAUGGAGGAGGUUGACAACAUGACAUGGGAUCAGCUGGGUUUUCAAUCAGAAGAAGAUACAUUCAAUAUGUCUGAGCUUCUCUUGUACGUCAUUCUUAAGCAUAUUUUAUCAGAAGAUGAUUGCUUGCAAUUUAGUUAUUCUUCAGUUUAUCCUAUUAUUCCCAAAAAACAAUAUAAUGUCGUCACUGUCCAUGGAAGCAGGCCGCCACCGGAGGUUCCAGUCAACCCAAGCUCCAUAUCAUGCAAUGAUCAAGGUGGACAGAACAAUGUGAUCAACGAUAGUAUUCAACAAACAACUCCGUUUCCAACUUCAUUUCCUGAAACCAUGGUGAGUACUCCAAUUUGCUACAAUGUCCAUUGAAUUAGCAAGUGUUUGUAUUAUACAAAAAGUUUUAUGUUUAGUGGAUCGAUCUCGAGCAUCUUCAAAUUGUUUACUGUUAAACAAACAGACAACAAUAGGGAGAUUUAAACAUUUUUUAUGAUAUUUUUUUAUCAUUAAGUUUUAUAUAAAAUUGGCCUCAAACUCCAUCAAGGCAUCAUAAUUCCUUUAUUCAUCAACCUCAGCCGGGACAUGGCUAUAUGACACCGAACGCAACCACAUCACAACAUGGUGGCUUCAAUCAACCUGGACCUUCUUUUCCUCCUCCCUGGUAUCCAAUUUUUCAUCUUUAGUAUUUUCUGUAAAAAAAAAAAUUAGUUUUUCAAUCAUUAUUUAACUUCUUCUUCCUCUAGUUGUUGUACUUAUCAGUGAAUUCAUUAACAAAUGUUGCUAAUUUAGGGACCAACAAUGGACUGAUUAUCAGUCACCAAUGAGCAAUCAAGUGCCUGCGAUGCUACCUGGACCUCAACCUCCAAUGAGUCAAUGGUAUUAACCUCGAAUUUACACUUUUUUAAUCAUGAAAACAAUAAACUUUACCAAAAUUGACGAGGAUCUUUCAAGUCUUUUUGAGCUCUCUAUCUCUCUUUUUUUUUUUAUGCACAUAAUGGAACUAGAAAAUCAACCAAGUGAGCAUAACAGUUCUAAGUUUAACUAUUUGAAUAUUCUUCAGGCAUCAGAACUCCUUUAUUCAUCAACCUCAGCCGGGACAUGGCUAUAUGACACCGAACGCAACCACUUCACAGCAUGGUGGCUUCAAUCAAUCUGGACCUUCUUCUCCUGCUCCCCGGUAUCCAAUUUUUCAUUUUUAGUAUUUUCUGUAAUAAAAACAAUUAGUUUUUCUAGCAAGAUAAUCAUAAGUUUUUUUACGAAUGAUUUUGGAUUUAGGAUUCAAACUUUUUCUAAUGAAGGACAAAUAGAUCAAGCUGCUGUAAUUCCUAACAUAGACAAUAUGCAACAAGAGAACUUCGUGCGUAGGUACUGAUUGACUUCUAGCUGUUGUGUUUUAACACCGUAUUAAUACCUUUUUUUUAUAAUUAGAUACACCAUUGAUUUUUAUUGCUUAAGAGAGACUACCAAUUAUCGAAUGGUUUUAUAAUAUGAUCACUUCAUUUUUAUAUAGGUCACAGAUGGAUAACCUCCAAGUCCGAGGAUUGCAAAAUCAAAUUGCUAGGCCAAAUGCCUCAAAUCCUGGCCCUGACACCUCCUUUCAAAGUCAAAUUAGGGGCUUAAAUACUCAACAAGUAAGAAGUCUAACUGAAUUAUCGUCGUCUUUUCCCCCUAUGAUUGUGCAAUAAACAAACUAUCAAUUUUAAUAGCAAAAUAAGGGUAACUUCCAUCAAUUUUUAUUCUUUAUUUUGACCCCGUUUUUUUUUUCUAUAGGUCGAAACGGUUGGAUCAAAGUAUCCAUUUCGGAUUCAUGUUGAAUAUAGGGCUGAUGGUAGCAUGAAGUGUAAGUUUUGUCACCAUACAUGGGCCAAUAAAACUUCCAUUUCAAGGUUCAAAUGGCAUUUAUCAGGAGAGGAAGGGCAUGGUGUUGCCAUUUGUCGUGGGGUGACUAAAGAAGUUCAAGAAGCAGCCAUUCUAGCUAUGUGUGGUGGCCACAAAAGACAAAAAAUCACAGCAAGUGCAGUCAAUGUUAAUGACUGUGGAAUUUCAACUUGUCUACAAGAACAAAACAUUGAGAAUGAAAAUACGGGAGGCGGUAUUGGAAGGGUACAAAGAGAAGUUCAGGUUGUAGAACCCGGAGUAGUGGAAGAGAGGAUUUCUUCACAUGCAAUAGCAGGAAACGACGUAGUAAGCAUGACCGGAAUGGGAGCACAAGAAGAUAGAGUUUCCGAAGGGGCAGUCGAGAGCAGACUGAGGACAGAACCAGUGGAUCGAGCGUUGGAACAAAGCAAUGCAGUACUUGGCAAUAUGGCAGGGGGUGCUGGAAGGAUACAUGUGGGAGUUCAGGGCAUGGAACAAGGUCCAGGAGAAAAUAGAAUUCAGUUGCAUCUACAAGCGGAAAAUGGCAUGGAAAACACUGGUGAAGGAUCUUUUCAGCAUGAUGCAUUUGAGAAUGUACUUAGAACAGAGCAAGUGCAGCUUCUGGAGCCUCAAGGAGAUUCAUCCCAAUUUUGUCUUGACAUUGGAAGAUGUGAUGAUCAACCUUGUGCUCCAUCAGUAAACGAUGAUGUAAAUAGGCAUGAUGCACUGGACAUGGUUAGAGUGAGGACAGAACCAGUGGAGGAUGAUGAUGUGGAGAAUAGUGGAAGAUCAGGAGUGCAGGCUGGCGCAGGAGCUAGAUCUUCUGAAAGUCUGAAAUACAACAAGACUAGAGGAGUUCCAUUACAUACUAGCUCUACAAAGCCAGUGGGUCAAGCAUUUGAAGAGAAUAAGGAGGUGAUAUGGUCUUUGUUAAUGGAUGGUAAAGUCCCAAUCAUUGGCAUUUAUGGGAUGGGGGGAGUUGGUAAAACAACAAUAAUACUACAUAUCUAUAAUGAGCUUCUACGAAGACCAGACAUUUAUGAUCACGUUUGGUGGGUGUCUGUGUCCCAAGAUUUCACCAUUAAUAGAUUGCAGAAUCUUAUUGCUAAACGUCUUGAUCUAAAACUUUCAAGCGAAGAUGAUGAUCGGCACAGAGCUGCCAAAUUGUCAGAAGAACUAAGAAAGAAACAAAAAUGGAUUCUCAUUUUAGAUGAUUUGUGGAACAAUUUUGAGCCUGACAACGUGGGAAUUCCUGUCUCAUUGAAAGGAUGCAAGCUGAUUAUGACAACUCGAUCAAAAAUAAUUUGUAAUCAGAUGGCUUUCCAACACAAAAUCAAAGUGAAGCCACUUUCUGAGGGUGAAGCUUGGAAUUUGUUCAUGGAGAAACUUGGACGUGACAUAGCACUUUCACUAGAAGUGGAAGGAAUUGCGAGAGACAUUGCAAGGGAAUGUGCUGGUUUGCCAUUAGGAAUUAUUACAGUGGCAGGAAGCUUGAUGGGAGUGGAUGAUCUACAUGAGUGGAGAAAUACAUUGAAGAAAUUGAGAGAAUCAGAAUUUAGGGACAUGGAUGAGAAGGUAUUCCAGGUAUUGAGGGUUAGUUAUGAUCGGCUAGGUGAUUUAGCACUACAACAAUGUCUCUUAUACUGUUCAUUAUUUCCUGAAGAUCAUGUGAUUGAAAGGGUGGAGUUGAUAGAUUAUUUGAUUGACGAGGGAAUAAUUAAAGGAAAGAGGAGAAGGGAAGAUGCAUUUGAUGAGGGCCACACGAUGCUUAAUAGACUUGAAAAUGUUUGCCUAUUGGAAAGUGUUAAAAUGGAGUAUGAUGGUAGUAGAGGUGUCAAGAUGCAUGACUUGAUGAGGGACAUGGCCAUCCAUAUACUGCAAGAGAACCUUCAAUACAUGGUUAAAGCAGGUGCACAAUUAAAAGAGUUGCCAGAUGCAGAGGAGUGGACGGAGAAUCUGACGAUAAUUUCACUAAUGCAAAACGAGAUCGUAGAAAUUCCUUCCAGCCAUUCACCAAUGUGUCCAAAUCUAUCCACUCUACUUCUAUGUCAAAAUCUUUGUUUGCGAAUCAUUGCAGAUUCAUUUUUCAAGCAAUUGCAUGGGCUCAAGGUUCUUGAUCUGUCUUCUACAGCUAUUAAACGUUUGCCAGACUCUGUCUCUGAUUUGGUGAGUCUCACUGCAUUAUUGCUCAUUGAGUGUUACAACUUAAGACAUGUUCCAUCAUUAAAGAAUCUCAGGGCACUGAAGAGGUUGGAUCUCUCUCAUACUUCACUUAAAAAGAUGCCGCAAGGAAUGGACUGUCUAUCCAACCUGAGGUAUCUUAGAAUGAAUGGAUGUGGUGAAAAGAAGUUUCCUAAUAGGAUAUUACCAAAACUCUCUCACCUGCAAGUCUUUGUACUAGAAGAGGUUUUUGAGGGAAGUUAUGCUCCGAUAACAGUUGAAGGAAAGGAAGUAGGAUCCUUGAGAAAUUUGGAAACUUUGCAAUGCCAUUUCGAAGGUCUCCCUGACUUCGUGGAGUAUCUCAGAUUUCGGGAUGUGACCCAAUCAGUAAGCACAUGCAAAAUUUUAGUAGGUAUACUGGAUGAAUUACUUUAUUACGGAAUAACUGAGUGUCCUUUUCCAAGUAAAACAGUUGGGUUGGGUUAUAUGAGUAUCAACAAAGAUAGAGAUUUUCAGGUCAAGUUCUUAAAUGACAUUCAAGGACUGGUUUGUCAUAGCAUCGAUGCAAGAAAUUUAUGUGAUGUUUUGUCAUUAGAGAAUGCACCUGAACUGGAGGUUAUCCAAAUUUGGGAUUGCAAUAGCAUGGAGAUCUUGGUUUCAUCUUCUUGGUUCUGCUCUGCUCCACCAUCAUUGCCAUCAUAUAAUGGUAUGUUUUCUGGUCUUAAAGAGUUUUAUUGUCAUGGAUGUAAAAGUAUGAAGAAGUUGUUCCCACUUGUGUUGCUGCCAAACCUCGUAAACCUGGAAAGGAUUGAAGUGAUGGAUUGUGAGAAAAUGGAGGAGAUAAUAGGAACAGCAGAUGAAGAAAGCAGCACCUCCAAUUCCAUCACGGAAUUCAUUCUCCCAAAGUUAAGAACUUUGAAAUUGUCUGAAUUACCAGAACUGAAAAGCAUUUGCAAUGCAAAACUGAUUUGCAAUUCUCUUGAAGAUAUUACUAUAAUGUUUUGUGUUGAGCUGAAGAGGAUGGCAAUUUCUCUUCCAUUGCUUGAAAAUGGUCAGCCAUCUCCUCCCCCUUCUCUUGAAGAAAUCAUAGUAUAUCCAGAAGAAUGGUGGGAGACAGUAGUGGAGUGGGAGCAUCCUAAUGCAAAGGAUGUCCUUCGUCCCUUUGUAGAGCUUGGUUUAGCAUCAUCCCCGUAGAAGAGGAUUUUGUUUCUCAAAAUAAUUAAUAUGUAUGGUUAAUCCUUUCGUUGUAAGAAUACUAAUCGACUGUAACCUUAAAUUUGCUCAUAUUCAAUAAUAUAUCAUUCUUUCAAUAUUUGUUUGUUAAAAAUCAUGGGCAAAACAUAAUUAUUUUUUAUAUGAAUGAUGAAAAUAGUCCUUUAAAUCAACAAGGAUAUUUUUAUUAAUUAUUAUUGAAAUUACUUGCAUGAUGCUUUUGGAUUAAAGAUCGAUUGCUCAAUGGGUGGAUUUGGGCUGGUGUGAAAUGGAAUUGCCAAUUAUUUUUUAUAUGAAUGAUGAAAAUAAUCCUUUAAAUCAACAAGGAUAUUCUUAUUAAUUAAUAUUUAAAUAGUCCUUUGUCCCUUUGUACCUUUUUUUUUAACUCGAAUGAUAAAUAAUUAUAAUUUGAAGUUUGAUUUAUAUUAUAUUUUCAUCCUAUUGAGUUUCUCCAAGAUGAAAAUCCAAAAAAAAAAAAAAAUACUAUAUUGAUUUAUCAUUAAAGUAACCUAAUAAAAUAAUAUAUCUAUUCACUAGUACAAAUCAUCUUAUAUCAUUAACUAGCAAUAAAUUAUUCUUUUAAAAUAUAUAAUACAGAUUAAAAAAAAUAUCAAAAUGAAGUUUUCUACUAGGGUUGAUGAUGAAUCUCAAGGUUGAAUUGGUUCUUAUGAAGUUUUCUACUAGUGCCUGGUGGUUUUGUCUGAGUAAAAGGGAUAGAUGCUAAGUUAAGGAAGAGAGACAAAAAGUGGAAGGGACAAUUGUGUCGAUUGUUCUCUUGAUCUGAGCUUAUUCUGUAUCAUUUGUUGGUUGCAUUAUACCUUCACCUCCAUACCCAACUCCUCUUCAUCUCUUAUUGUUAAUAAAAAUGUAAGAAUUUAAGAGCAUGAGAGAAUACUUUCACAAUGAAGAUUAAUUCAUCUCCAUAGCAGAAUACAGGAAAUGGAAAAUUAAAUCAAUAAAAGAAAGGUAUUUCAUCGCCAAUGAAUUCAUCUCUUCGAACAUUCUUGAAUUCUGGUCAAUCCAUAUCACAACAAACAUAGUAAACAUGUCAAAAGUAUUCUUCUACCUCAGCAUUGAGAAGAUCAAAUGAGGAAGGCUAAGAUUCUCUUUUAAAUGCCCCUGAGAGAGUAUGAACUGAACAUACAUUUUUUGUUGGAUGAGUUUUGGUUUCUAAACCUGAAACUGCCGUCAUAAGCACUGGCUAGGGAAGUUAGGAUGAGCAUUUCUUGUCAUUAUAUCACUUUUUCUGCUAGGAUAAUGCUGUCUAUAUUCUCUGAUACUAUUGCUUAUAAUCUCCUUGCCUCUGUUAUCUUUUCCAACCCGUUUGAGGAUGCUUUCUAAAUUUUUUUGUUAAAUUGUGAAUUUGUUGUUCACUUGCACAGUUGAACAGGGUUGACCUAGGAAUCCAGGAGUUAUUGGUGAGAGAGGAUUUGGAUCCUUUUCGAAGGAAAGUGAGUGGUUCAACGAUGAUAUUUAAUUAAAAAAAAAUAACAAUGUCUUUUUUAAUAUUAUAUUUUAAAAUAUUUUAUUUUAAAAAAGUUACACAUGAUUGCAAUAAAAAAGAUGUUUUAAUUUGGCAUCAUUGAGCAUCCUCGAGGAAACUAUUAUAGGGUUAUUAAUUUUUAUUAAAAGAAAAGUUAAAAGACAUGAAAGAAUCAUUAUCUAUCCACACUCAUUUCAUUGUAAAUUACAAAAUAAUUCAAGCUUUUUUUUUUGUUUUUUUUAAAUUAUUUUUGUUUAUUUCAAUAUUACACUGGUUCGUAAUUUAUUUAUUUUUAUUUUAUUUUUAUAAGAUUAACAUGAUUUAAAGAUUUAUUAGAAUAAUAUCUUUGCUACUGUAACAUUAUCUUCCACAUCCCAUCUCAUUAUACCAUUGAUUUCCCAAUUUCCCUCAUCAAAUUUCUUAAACCUUUCUGAAGAUCAGUGCUUCCUUUUCUGAUUGAAUCAAAUCAUCUGGAGUUCAACAUCUUGGAACUUUCUUGUUAUUUUUAAACUAUAUAUUCUACUCUGUUCUUGUCUUUUUUGCUGAAUAAUGCUUAAGCAAACCAGGACCUGAAGAACAACUUGAAUCCAGGUAGAUUAUUUAUACUCCAUCUUCUUCAUUUUCUUUUUCACAUGUAACUCUGGUUUGAAUCUUUCAAGGAAACCACAAGUUGUAGAAAUUCUAAUGAGAAACUUUGGAGUUAGGAUCAUCAACAGUUUCCAAAAAUAAAAAUAAUUUAAUCUUUCUCAGUUUUAACAAUCCAUGCCUUAUGGAGUUCAUACUAAUUAAAUUGACCCCAAGUUAACCUUGAAUUCAUUGUUUUUUCUUCUUAAUUUCUUUGCUGUUUGUAACUUAUUAUUUUUGCUGUUUGUAACUUAUUAUUUUUGCUGUUUGUAACUUAUUAUUUUAGUUUCACCUUCCUUUUCCUUUUCCAAUUAAUGUACUUCCAUUAAUUGUUAUUCAAUAUUUUGACCCUUUUUAUCUAUAGGACAAAAUGGGUAGAUCAGAUGAUCCGUUUUGGAAGGAAGUUGAAGAUAUGAAUGAUGGAAGCAUGAAGUGUAAGUUUUGUGGGCAUUUAUUUGCCAAUGGUACUUCCAUUUCGAGGAUCAAAUGGCAUUUAUCAGGAGAGAGAGGGCAUGGUGUUGGCAUUUGUGGUCAGGUGCCUAAAGAAGUUCAAGAAUUAAGCAGCCUUUCUAGCUAUGCAUGGUGGCAACAAAAGACAUAAAAGCAUAGCAAGUUCAAGCAAUGUUAAUGAUUAUGCCAUUUCCACCUGUCCACAAGAACAAGACAAUGCAGUACUUGGUAAUUUGGCACAAGGUGUUGGGCCUGAGAGAAUUCAUUCGCGUGUAGAAGCGGCAAAUAGCAUGGAAUACACUGGUGAAGGAUCUUUUCAGCAUGUUGACAGAAGUGUCUCUCCUUGGGGACUCAGAGUUGAUGCUCGUGAGAAUAGAGGAGAAGCAACACAAAGAACAGAUUUAGUGGAUCAUUUGCUGAUGGUACUUGGGUUCAGAUACACUCUGGCCUUUCAAAGGNNNNNNNNNNNNNNNNNNNNNNNNNNNNNNNNNNNNNNNNNNNNNNNNNNNNNNNNNNNNNNNNNNNNNNNNNNNNNNNNNNNNNNNNNNNNNNNNNNNNCUGAAUGAAAUCUCUACCUAUUUAAUGCAGGAAGAUGAGGAUGUGGAGCGUCUGCAUGAUGCAUUUGAAACUGUACCGAGAACAGAAGAAGUGCAGCAUCUGGAGAGAGGUAGCUCUUGUGAGAGGCCAUCAAUUAAUCAAGCUGAUGAGCCUCGAGGAGAUUCAUCACAACCAACAGAUUCAUUGUGUCUUGAUCAUGGAAGAUAUUAUGAUCAACUAUUUACUCCGUCAAUAAACAAUGAUGUCAUUAUGAAUGAUGUGCAGAACAUGGUUAGAGUGAGGACAGAACCAUUGGAGGAGGAGGAUGUGGAGAAUAGUGGAAGUUCAGUAGUGCAGGCUGGCGCGGGAGCUAGAUCUUCUGAAAGUCUGAAAUACAACUAGAGGAGUUCCAUUACCUACUAGCUCUACAAAGCCAGUGGGUCAAGCAUUUGAAGAGAAUAUGAAGGUGAUAUGGUCUUUGUUAAUGGAUGAUAAAGUCCCAAUCAUUGGCAUUUAUGGGAUGGGAGAAGUUGGUAAAACGACAAUACUGCAACAUAUUCAUAAUGAGCUUCUACAAAAACCAGAUAUUUGUAAUCAUGUUUUGUGGGUGACUGUCUCUCAAGAUUUCAGCAUUAAUAGAUUGCAGAAUCUUAUUGCUAAACGUCUCUAUUUAGAUCUUUCAAGUGAAGAUGAUGAUCUGCAUAGAGCUGCCAAUUUGUCAGAAGAACUAAGGAAGAAACAAAAAUGAAUUUUCAUUUUAGAUGAUUUGUGGAACAAUUUUGAGCUACACAAAGUGGGAAUUCCUGUCACGUUGAAAGGAUGCAAGCUGAUUUUGACAACUCGAUCAGAAACAAUUUGUCAUCGGAUUGCUUGCCAACACAAAAUCAAAGUGAAGCCACUUUCUGAGGGUCAAGCUUGGAAUUUGUUCAUGGAGAAACUUGGACAUGACAUAGCACUUUCACCAGAAGUGGAAGGAAUUGCGAGAGAUAUUGCAAGGGAAUGUGCUGGUUUGCUAUUGGGAAUUAUUACAGUGGCAGGAAGCUUGAUGGGAGUGGAUGAUCUACAUGAGUGGAGAAAUACAUUGAAGAAAUUGAGAGAAUCAGCUGAAUUUAGGGACACGGAAGUAUUCAAGUUAUUGAGGUUUAGUUACGAUCAAUUAGGUGAUUUAGCACUACAACAAUGUCUCUUGUACUGUGCAUUAUUUCCCGAAGAUAGUGAGAUUGAAAGGGAGGAGUUGAUAGGUUAUUUGAUCGAUGAGGAAAUUAUUAAAGGAAUAAGGAGCAGGAAAGAUGCAUUUGACGAGGGCCAGACGAUGCUUAAUAGACUUGAAAAUGUCUGCCUAAUGGAAAGUGUUAAAAUGGAGUAUGAUGGUAGUAGAAGUGUCAAGAUGCAUGACUUGAUUAGGGACAUGGUCAUCCAUAUACUGCAAGAGAACCUUCAAUACAUGGUUAAAGCAGGUGUACAAUUAAAAGAGUUGCCAGAUGCAGAGGAGUGGACGGAGAAUCUGACGAUAGUUUCACUAAUGCAAAACGAGAUCGAAGAAAUUCCUUCCAGCCAUUCACCAAUGUGUCCAAAUUUGUCAUCUCUACUUCUACGUGAUAAUGAAGGGUUGCGAUCUAUUGCGGAUUCAUUUUUCAAGCAAUUGCAUGGGCUCAAGGUCCUCGAUCUGUCUUGCACAGUUAUUAAAAAUUUGCCAGAGUCUGUUUCUGAUUUGAUGAGUCUCACUGCAUUAUUGCUCGAUGGUUGUUGGAAGUUAAGAUACGUUCCAUCAUUAAAGAAGCUCAAGGCACUGAAGAGGUUGGAUCUCUCUUGGACCAUGCUUGAAAAGAUGCCGCAAGGAAUGGAAUGUCUAUCCAACCUGAGGUAUCUUAGAAUGAAUGGAUGUGGUGAAAAGGAGUUUCCUAAUGGGAUAUUACCAAAACUCUCUCACCUGCAAGUCUUUGUACUAGAAGAGGUUUUUGAGGAAUGUUAUGCUCCGAUAACAAUUAAAGGAAAGGAAGUAGUAUCCUUGAGAAAUUUGGAAACUUUGGAAUGCCAUUUCGAAGGUCUCUCGGACUUCAUAGAGUUUCUCAGAUGUCGGGAUGGGAUCCAAUCAUUAAGCACAUACAGAAUUUCAGUGGGAAUUCUGAAAUUCUUAUAUGGCGUUGAAAAGUUUCCAAGUAAAACAGUUGCGUUGGGUAAUUUGAGUAUCAACAAAGAUAGAGAUUUUCAGGCCCUUUACGAAUUGUUCUGGCAGCGUGCUAAUAGCCUACUCCAUAUGGUUGCUCAGUUCGAUCUCAAUGAUAAAAAAAAAGGGAAAAAACAACUUAAAGGGAAUUCGAACAACAACGGCACUGCUGUAUUAUAAAAAAAAGAAAAAAAGUGAAAAAUAACUUGCUAUUAUCUUAAAAUACUGCAGGUUUUAUUAUUUGUCUCUUGUUCGGUUAGAAGAAUAACCAGGGUGGAAUUCAGCUGAUAAGAAUUGGUUCCUUCACCAAUAAACUAAACAACUAUAUAUUUUCCUGUUACUCUAUAUCAUGAGUGGAUUGGACAGGAGGAGUUCUGUAGUAAGCUGGCAUGGUUUCCAGGAAGAAUGUUGCUCUAAUUCCUUCUGCCUUUAUAGUAUAGGGAAGAUGAUGCCUGAUCCAACCUGAAAAUUGACAAAAAUAAAAAUUUAAGUUUGUCUAGGAAACUCAUGGUGAGAAUAACAGUUCAAACAAAAAAGCUUCUGAUAGUAAGAGUAAAGAAAGCUGGAGAUACAGACCAAAAUUAGUCUAGCCGCUAUGCACAUGCGUUUUGGUGUAGGAAAUGGAAGCAAUAAGCGGCCAACAGCGUAGGCAAGCAUGGCAAAGCAGUGGAAAACCAAGCUCAACGGGUCAGGGUUUAGACCAGACAGAAGAGCCAUCAGUCCAUCUGAGAAAACGCCUCCAAGGCUGAAAUAAUUGAAGAAUGCUUCUUUCAUUUCCUUCCUUGAUGGAUCCUGAUCCGAUGAAGAGAUUUCUGUGUGUAGGCAAAUGUGUUGCUUGCAAAUGCCGUUGGCUGCAACCAAUAAUAAGUUAAUAGUAUCUACCAACCGCAUAGAAAUAUGGUUAUGUUGUGUUUCACUCAGCAAUGCUUGAAAUAUGAAGUUUCUUUAAGCAAUUCCUGUUCAGAGUUUGUUCCGAGGAAGACUGGCCGAAGAAAUAUUAGCUAAGCAUAUUCAUGCAAGUGCCGAUACCAUACGCAGAAUGCAAAAGGAUUAAGAUAUUUGCAAAUGGAAGCUGCAUUGCUAAGAUCAUUCAGAGGCCUAAGAAGAUGUCGCAGUAGAACAACACCAGAAAGUCCCACGGUCAUUCCUCCUCCUGUUACAGCAAGGCGCAUUUUCAACGAAUCCCCUAUCAUAAAUGCACCAGGGGUUGGAUAGCGAGACGCAGGCAUGAUUCUGUUUGGCAUUGUUCUUAUGUUGCCCUUAUCAAUUGCACAUAUGAAAGCAUUGUAUAGCUCAGAUAUUAUUAACAACACUAAGGAGGUCCUUCUACCCUUUGUAAGUUUUUUAUAUAUAAGGAAGGAAGAUGAAGACAAAUCAAACGUUUAGAGAGGAACACCUCAUCCAUUUCUGGCCAUUUCUGAUAUAAGGUUUUCUCGAUGCCUUCACACUCCAUAUUUUUAUUUGUAUCUUCUAAACCUUAUAGCUUCUUCUUCUUUUAGUUUAUUGAUUGCUCUGUUUAUUUAUUAUUUGUAUUAAUAUAUAUUAACUAAAUGGAUUCAUGACCAUUAAAAACAACAUUUAUAUAUAUAUAUUAUUUUGGAAAACUCAAAAUACAACGGAAAUACAAUUUUGAGAUUCAUCUUAUUCAUUUCAUGUGGUACAUCAUGAGGAUUGUUUCAUGUUUGUUCAUGUUGUUCCUCAUGCUUCAUAAAUUCAGCUGAUAAGAAUCGGUUCCUUUACCAAUAAAAUAAACAACUAUUUCCCUGUUUCUCAAUCAUCAGUGGAUUGGACAGGAGGAGUUCUGUAGUAAGCAGGCGUGGUUGCCUGGAAGAAUGUUGCUCUGAUUCCUUUUGCCUUAAGUAUAGGGAAGAUGAUGCCUGAUCCAACCUCAUGCUUUAGGAUAGGCCUAAGAAGAUCUCGCAGUAGAACAACAUCAGAAAGUCCAACAGUCAUUCCUCCUCCUGUUACAGCAUGGCGCAUAUUCAAUGAAUCCCCUAUCAUAAAUGCACCAGGGGUUGGAUAGGGAGAUGCAGUGUAGUUUUUAGCAGAAUAGAGACACAAAAAACAGAGAAAACCAGCACAUAUAAAGGGUUGUUUUGAGACUUCAAAAUCAUUACUAUUUUUAUUGAUUGAAUCACUCUUUUAGACAAGAGUUUUGAUAACUAAUUUCAGAAAAAUAAUGACAUGAUUUAAUGGAAUAAGAGUUGUUCUACAGCAGCUUUAUUUGCUACUAACUUCCUAACUUGUUGGAGCUGAUCUUGACUCAAUCGUUUCAGCUCCAAAAACCGCUUCUUCAGCAGCAAAUGAGGCAACCAGCAACACGCAGGCAUGAUUCUGUUUGGCAUUGUUCUUAUGUUGCCCUUAUCAAUUGCACAUGUGAAAGCAUUGUAUAGCUCAGAUAUUAUUAAAACAAAUCCGUGAUCAAGCGUGCUCUAUAAAUUAAUCAGAAUAUGCUUCAGUUCAUUAACAGUAUAGCUUCUUCUACUUUUAGUUUAUUGAUUGCUCUGUUUACUUAUUAGUUGUAUUAAAAAUAUUAAUUUGUCUAUCAAAGUGCUAAUGAGUAAUGCAACUCAAAGUCGUUCGAUUUACUGUGCUCUUGGAUAUUGAUAGCUCUUAUUUAAGGACUUGGAAAGAAAGCAUAUCUCCUCCUGCUGAUUCGUUGCCAUCAAAUAUUGAUCCAAAACCCUCUUUAACCAUGUUGGUGAUUGAUUAGCUAGUAGUUUUGGUAUAAUUCACGAGCAUUUUUGUGCUAUAAUGGGCCCAAACCCUCUUUAACCAUGUUGAUGAUGUUUCUAAUUUGCAAGUGCUGAUACACACACACCACAAAACGUAAUGUAUAUAGCUCACAUAUAUUGACACAUGAGCAUAAACUACCCAUGAAUAGGAGGAAAUUAUCAUAACAAAUAUUAGGAGCUCAAUGUUUCUCAAAAAUUGAUUUGUGAUUUAAGUAUCACCGGUUAAGGAUUAGAAAUGAUGAUAUUCCUAAAUCUGUAUUUAGAACUUGUUAUGGACACUAUGAAUUUCUAAUAUUGUCUUUUGGGUUAGCAAAUACACUAGUAACCUUUAUAGACAUGAUCAACAGUGUUUUUAAGCCAUUUAUUGAUAGAUUUGUUAUUGUAUUCAUUGAUGAUUUUUUAGUGUAUUUGAGGAGUGAAGAGGAAUAUGAAGAGCAUUUGUUACUGGUUCUUUAAACUCAGAGAAAUCAUCAAUUGUAUGAGAAAUUUUUGAAAAGUGAGUUUUGGUUGGAGAAUGUUGGGUUUUUGGACAUGUGAUGUUGAAAAAUGGGAUAGAGGUUGAUCCACUAAAGGUGAAGGCAACUAAGAAGUGGCCUAGACUGACUAUAAUAUCUAAGAUUAGGAGUUUCUUGAGUUGAGCACGAUACUAUAAGUGGUUCAUGGAGAGCUUUUCACAAAUUGCAGCUUCAUUGACCAAGUUGACAGAAAAAAAUCAAGUUUUAGUGGCCAAAAUAGUGUAAGAAGAGUUUUCUAGAGUUGAAGGAAAGGUUAAUUAAGACUUUGAUUUUGAUAAUACCUUCAAAGUUCGGUGGCUUUACUGUGUAUUGUGAUGCAUUAAGAAUUGGAUUGAGUUGUGUUUAAAUGCAAAAUGAUAAUGUAAUUGCUUAUGCCUCAAGGAAAUUGAAGAAAGAUAAACAAAAUUACCCCACACAUGAUUUAGAGAUGGUUAUGGUAGUGUUUGCUCUUAAGAUUUGGAGACACUACUUGUUUGGAAAGACAUGUGAGAUGUUUUCAGAUUAUAAGAUUUUUCAAUAUAUCUUCCAAUAAAAGAAUCUGAAUAUAAGACAAAGAAGGUGGAUAGAAUUUUUAAGUGAUUAUGAAUGCAUGAUUCAAUAUCACCCGAAAAAAGUGAAUGUUGUUGCCGAUGCCUUGAGCAUAAAAUCUAUGGUGGUUUGGCUUAUAUUCAAGAGGUGAGGAGGCUAUUGAUUAGGGAGUUACACAAGUUAUUGGAUGAAAAGGUUAGUUUUGAGAUUGGGGAACUAGGAGCAUUGUUGGCUCACUUUCAAACUAAAUCGAACUUGUUAGACCAGAUUGAAGCAAUUGACGAGAGAUGAGCAGCUAUAUAAGAUUCAAGAUGAGUUAGAGUUAGGAAAGGCUCCAAGUUUUGUUGAUGGUGAGGAUGGUUUGUUGAGAUUAGGUUUUUGUGUGCUUGAGGUGAAUGAUUUGAACAGAAAUACGAUGACGGAAGCAUAUCAAACCACCUAUAAUGUACAUCCUAAUUUUAACAAGAUGUAUAGACUUGAAACAAUUCACUAAUGAAAUGGCAUAAAAAACAUUAUUGAGAAUACUUAACCUAUCAAAGAAUUAAAAGCGAGCAUCAGAAGUUAUUAGGGUUUUUACAACCAUCGUUAAUUCCUGACAUUUUCAAUCAUUAUUGAUUUUUGAAUGGAAAUGAUAUAAACUCAUUAUAGAUUUUAUGUCAAGUUUGUCUCGGAAGAGUUAUAAUUCAAUUUGGGGGAUAGUUGAUUGUUUCACCAAGUCAGCUCAUUUGUACCUUUCCCAUGAACUAUCUGAAUGAAAUUAAUUAUCUGGUGGAAUAUUGUUGGUGGUAUCCGACGUGAUUAAAGUUACGUAACAUGAUCCAUCAUCACUAGUCUCUCCUCAUUGCUGCUAUCCGACAUGAUCAAGGUUUCCAAAGGGAGAACCUUUAAUUUGGAAAAUUUUAUCUUCAUCUGAAACCAUUUGAGCCCAUGAUCUGGACUUUUGUUCUACUUUUUAAGCCUUUGUCUUUGUCUUUCUGUUUAGAUGGCAUUGGGUCGUCUUCCCUGCCAAAAAAACCUCUUAUAAAGGUAGGAAAUUUGAAUUUUCUUUAUACAUUUAAUAUAGAAUCGAAAAUGCUUAAAAUAGCUUGUUUUUUUGGGCAAAAGAUAUCCCAUUUAUUCUAACUCUUCUCCAAAUAAUCAUAGGAUUUAUGCAUUUUAUGCAUUCAGUCACGCUUUUUCUAGCUAUUGAAUGGAUUAAUUAUUUUAAUACACUUGAAUCAUUUAUUUAUCUGUAUUGAUUUAAUUUUUUUGCUGUGAUAUUGCUACUCGUGUAUAUUGUUGUUGUCAUUAAAUUUUAUUGAUAGGAACAAUUAUUAAUUUUAUAAGAUUUAAAGUUAAUGACUAUAUAAACAUCUAGUGAUCUUGAUAUUUUUGAGAUUUGAACUGAUGAUAUUUAAGGAGUAAAUCUAGAAGCUGACCAGUUAAAGAUGAAGAUUGUUAGGAUACAAAAAAGAUAUAAUUUGUUUUUUUAUUUAAAAUUGUAUAUAUUUUAAAAAUUUAUUUGUCUUGAAAAAAUAUAUUUUUAAUAUAAUAACAUUAAAAAUAAAAAUAAAUUAGUUUGAUUAAUCAAAUCUCCAAGCAACUUUAAUUUUCCAGGCAGCUUCUUCAAAGUUUCAACAUUAGGGGGGUCCACACGUUAACUUUCUAUAUCUUAUAAUAUAAUGCUUGGUAGGUAAGCGGAGGGUUCCUUCCUAGCAACUUCCUUCCUUCCUAUCAAACAAUACAAUAAUUAUUUAUUUAUUAUUAUUAUUACCAUUCUCUGUUUUCCUUUCCCUCUCAGCACUGCAACUUUAUUAUUUUUCUAAAUCAUAUAAUCUUCUCUGAUUUGUGAUUUCUCCUCUUUUAAUCCUCAGGACGUACUAAUCAUCUUCUACCUAUUUUCUUUUCCACAUAUCUUAUAUUCUUCUCUGAUCUGUGAUUUCUCUUCUCUUUUUUUGGCUGAUUACUGCUCAAGCAAACCAGCCCUUGAAGAACAUCUUGAAUCCAGGUAAAUUAUUUGUACUUCAUCUUCUUCAUCUUGUUGGUGUUUUUGUUUUUAUAUUUGUAACUAUGGUUUGAAUCUUUAAAGUAAUCCAUGAUAAAUAAAUUGAUCUUUUUCUCAGAUUUGUCAUAUGUAUAUACUCUUCUCUGAUAUGUGCUUUCUCUUCUUUUUUCACCUCCUGUACUAUUCAUCAUGUACUUGUGGUGAGAUGGAAGGAGUUCCCACCAUCUGUAAAAAAGUUUAUUUUUUCAAUCAGGAAAGAAACAUCAUAGCUUGAACAUGAACCCAGCAAACUAAACAUAAGUUUGUAAUGCUUCAUAUUGUUUGCGAAUGAUUUUGGAUUCAGGAGUCAAUAUUUUUGUAAUCAAGCUGCUGUAAUUCCUAAUAUAGACAAUAUACAACAAGAGAACUUCGUGCCUCGGCACUUUGGAAACUCUACUAGGUACUGAUUGACUUCUAGCUGUUGUGUUUUAACACAAUAUUAAUACCUUUUUGAUAAUUAGAUACACCAUUGAUUUUUGGUUUUAUAAUAUGAUCACUUCAUUUUUAUACAGGUCACAUAUGGAUAACCUCAAACUCAGAGGAUUGCAAAAUCAAACUACUAGGUCAAAUGCCUCAAAUCCUGGCCUUGACACUGCCCUGCAAAGUCAUAUUAGGGGUUUAAAUGCUCAACAAGUCGGAUAUGAUUCAUUUUGGAACUAUGUUGAAGAAAGGGCUGAUGAUGGUAGAAUGAAGUGUAAGUUUUGUCCACAUACAUAUGCCAUUAAAACUUCCAUUUCAAGGAUCAAAUGGCAUUUAUCAGGAGCAGAAGGGCAUGGUGUUGCCAUUUGUCGUGGGGUGUCUAAAGAAGUUCAAGAAGCAGCCUUUCUAGCUAUGUGUGGUGGCAACAAAAGACUUAAAAGGACAGAAAGUUCAAUCAAUGUUAAUGAUUCUGGAAUUUCAACUUGUCCACAAGAACAAGACAUUAAGAUUGAAAAUAUGGGAGGAGGUAUUGGAAGGGUACAAAGAGAAGUUCAGGUUGUAGAACCUGGAGCAGAGGAAGAGAGGAUNNNNNNNNNNNNNNNNNNNNNNNNNNNNNNNNNNNNNNNNNNNNNNNNNNNNNNNNNNNNNNNNNNNNNNNNNNNNNNNNNNNNNNNNNNNNNNNNNNNNNNNNNNNNNNNNNNNNNNNNNNNNNNNNNNNNNNNNNNNNNNNNNNNNNNNNNNNNNNNNNNNNNNNNNNNNNNNNNNNNNNNNNNNNNNNNNNNNNNNNNNNNNNNNNNNNNNNNNNNNNNNNNNNNNNNNNNNNNNNNNNNNNNNNNNNNNNNNNNNNNNNGUUUCUCAUCCAUCCGGAUAUGGUGUAACCUCCAUCAAUUUUAAUUUUUAUUUUGACCCUCUUUUUUUUUCUAUAGGUUGAAAUGGUUGGAUCAAAGGAUCCAUUUUUGAAUUAUAUUGAAGAUAUGGCUGAUGGUAGCAUGAAGUGUAAGUUUUGUCCACAUACAUUUGCCAAUAAAACCUCCAUUUCAAGGAUCAAAUGGCAUUUAUCAGGAGCAGAAGGGCAUGGUGUUGCCAUUUGUCGUGGGGUGUCUAAAGAAGUUCAAGAAGCAGCCUUUCUAGCUAUGUGUGGUGGCAACAAAAGACUUAAAAGGACAGAAAGUUCAAUCAAUGUUAAUGAUUCUGGAAUUUCAACUUGUCCACAAGAACAAGACAUUAAGAUUGAAAAUAUGGGAGGAGGUAUUGGAAGGGUACAAAGAGAAGUUCAGGUUGUAGAACCUGGAGCAGAGGAAGAGAGGAUUUCUUCACAAGCAAUAGCAAGAAACGACGAAGUAAGCAUGACCGGAGUGAGAGCACAUGAAGAUAGUGUUUCCAAAGAGGCACUCGAGAGUAGACUGAGGACAGAACCAGUGGAUCGAGC